rnacentral:lncRNA from 1 species
UCCUGUCAACUUUUUUUAGCUCUUCUUCAAGCCAUUUGUACUGGGGAGUAUAUUUACCUUAGGAGCGAACAGAGGUAAAAGGAAUUAAGCAAAAGUGAGCUACGACAUUCAAUAGGAAUUGGCAUUCAGAGAGACGUCUCUAUUGUACAUCUUGAUAUAACCGUACAUGUUAUAAUGACAUCGAAUCAAAACCAUUUUAGCGCCUAACAAACUUUCAUUUCCAUUACUGGAUGUUUUGAGUUAAACGAUGAAUAUUUGCUCCCAACGUCUAUCUGCAGUCUAUUAAAUUAAUAAAAAUCUUGAAAAAAUGGAUCUGCUGUCAUCCACAGAUGUGAAAGUAAAGUUUCAUAUUGACUCUCCACCUAAUUUCGACCUUGCAGAUAAAUGAACAUUAUUAUUAUAUCCCAAAAUUAUCUCAUAAACAUGGGAGGUGCCGUAGAGUAGCAUCUUAUUCUCAUCUAUGUUGGCAGCAUAGUCAAGGAUGUAGGAAUCAUACCAUAUGCAGAGUAUGACGAUAAGACUAUGAUGUAUGCUGAAGCUCUCUUUAUGGAGUACCAAAAAGGUGCGGUGCUGUUUGAUUUUCUAUAAGGGACAUGGUAUCUGUUCGUAUAGGGCUUGAAGGGUUUAUUUUCUCCCUGCAGAAAAAAAAAAUGUACAAAAUCAUCAGUCACGUCAUUAUAUGAACUCAUACAUCCUGAUACUUCAGGAAACGGAUGAAAGGGCGAGGACUUCAUCCCCUGCAUAUUUCCUGUAACAUCAUAAACACUGAUAUUGUAAAGCAUUGAUAUGUAUUGUGAAAUUACACUGGGUGACAGUCUAAGUUCUACUGUCCGCUUGCCUUAAUAAACCUCAAGAAAUGAAUUCAUUGCUUCCUUCAGUUCCCAAACUUCCCAGUGAAGAUGAACAAUGCAAUAUGAUGACUUGGAACUUGGAUAGAAGUUCUUAGCUACCAAAAGCGGGGGAGGAUUGUUUGAUAUAAUGACCAGUAUUAAAGUAAAUUACCAAUUAAUUGGAUUGUAGAGACUUUUUGCUGUAAUGAAUUAUCACAGAACUGAUGGAUUAAGGUUUAUGUGACUCUGAAUGUGAAAUAGAUAUGUCUUGGUGGAUGAAUAAUGCUAGCACUCACGAGUUCAGGAGCGAAGUCGAUUUCAUGAUUUCCUGCUGUCCAUAUCCAGGGUUGAUAAGCUACACUUCUUUCUACAAACCUUCCCCACGUAUCCCACCUCACAUUGUCGUGGUUGGGAUAAUUAUCUGCAUACGACAAGUCUCCAACAAACAACACAGUCUGUCCUUUCUGUGGAUUAUGUUCGUAAUGGGUGAGGGUCACGUUUGAAUCAAAACUCUGACCAAGAUCCCCUGUAACAUUCAUCAGCAUGCUGAGCAUGGAAAGAAGUGUAGAACCACGGAUGCAUGUAUAACUGCUGAACUAAAUUUGCUGCGACUCGCUGAUGGACUUGACUAUCAAAACUAAAUGAUUCUGCAAAGACCUAUAUUACAUGGGCAGGAAUAAGCUUUUGGAGUUACUCUGAGUGAUUGACUAUCUACGCAUGAUAAUGUGAUUUACUUACCUAUGAGACCGAAAGUGUAUGGAACAUCAGGGCCAACCUCCGGAGGAGUAAUGAACCAGAACUGUCGGACCGUGUGUCCAAUUCCGACCUCAUAAUAGUAUUUGGUGUUGUACUGCCAGUAACCGAAACAAGCAUUAGCUACAUCUACCAAAUUUUACAGACCAAGCACCAAAAAAUUUAAAUUUUCUGGAGGAAUCAAGAGAUUUACCAUCAAGUCGUUAAGGGUGCAAUGGUGGAUGUAACCAGAAGUAUAAUUGUAGAACUCAUAACGAUUCACUUUGCCCUUUGCCUUUUUCUUGUGCUCGCUGUUUUUGCUCCAGUAGAGCACUACACUGGACCCAGGUUCAUCCGGAGUCACCCAUGACACAAUCACUCCUUUUCCCACAUGAUCUCCUUGUGUUAUAUGUACCUAAAGGCUCGCGCCAAACGCAAAACCCAAAUCAGAAACCACAAAGAAUAGAAAGAAAUUAACAAAAGUAACCUCUGACAUUAAAUCACAUCGAAGCUGAAACCGGAUUAACUCAAUUCACACUCGUCCCAGCGUGUCUCUACAUGUAGAUGUUAACAAUUUCACGAGUCACAAAAGAACAAAGGAAAAGCUUGUGCUAUGCUAAGAAAAGAGCAAAGAACACAAGCUCAGUUGAGACCUGCUGAGGGGCAUUAUAGCCAGGAGGCACUCGGAAAACAUCGCUGUCCAGAGGCAUGUCCACGGUUUUCUCCACUUUACGGACGAAAGUGCUGGUCUUCCCUCCAUUGCAUAAAUCGGCCCCAUUCAAAACCAGAACAAGAACAAGAACAAGAGCAGCCCCAACAGCAGCAACUGAACAACGAGAAGAAGAAGAUCCCAGAACAGCCAUCUUGGUCUUAUUCUGGGAGGAGUCAGAGCACGAGAGCCAACGUGACAGACUCCCCACGAAUUCUCACUUCAAUCGCACUGCCUCUUAUAUAGGUGAAUGUAGUACCGAGGAACGCGCCUUUGCAAGAUAGGAAAUUGCAUAAGACUCGGGGAAUAUCCACGGGACCAAUACGCAUCUACAGGGUAAACGUCAACUCUUUUGAGCGCUUAAAUGUGGAAAGAGGCUGUCCCCCUUUUUUUUUAAAGGGAAUACGCGAUUGAUUUAGUCCAUUUCUUUCCUUCCCUUCUUGAUAAGGCUGGUCUGGAGUAUGCAGUUGACGGCGAAACCGUGGGAGAUUUCGUAAUGAUAACGGCGAAAAAGCGCAUUCAAUUGACUCUGCUUCUGGUAAGGACAGGAAGGCAAUAAUGUUUUGGACGAAAAUUGGGUGUCGCCACUGCCAGUUUCUUUCGCGUGCAACUGGCUUGGACAAUCGAUAGAUGCAGCAAAGAAAUCGGCCACUUUGAAAUUCGAAUCGGUGGCGACGUGAUCUGGUGGCGACGUUUCACUGAAGAGGAAAAGAGUUGGGUCUGUGAUCUUAGGUUUGACGUGACCAAACCAGUCAUAUGCUUCCGAAAGGAAAUUGGCUCCGAAUAGUCCAAAAGGUUCACGUGUCUUCUCACAUCACGAGGAACUUGCGCCAUGUUUCUUUGAUCAGAUUCAACUUCUUAUUACGCCAAAGGGCCAAAUGCUUGUUUUUACAUGCAUUUAUUGCACCACAUGUCCAUGUUCUUGUUCUCUGCUCAGAAAAGUACCUUAUAAGCUCCUCAAUUCAUAUUUAAAUGACAACGUGAAUUUUGUAUGAUAGGUUUAAAAAUUUCCCCAUUUAUGUCUCUAUUUGUGCUUUCAUAGUUCUUAUUGAAUCCUGUUAUUUUAUGCGCUCAAUAUGUUGCAUGUGCUCGUCUAAUUAUUCAAUGUAUGUAGCAAUUUCAAGUGCUAUCGUUUUCUUUAAAUCAGGGGAUAAACUUACAUGAUGAAAUUUGAAUCCACUUUAACCACAUAAACUGUACCUGAUAAUUUGAUUAAUGCAUUUUUUAAUAAGUUUUUUUUUUUUUGGGUGGAAAAAAGUCAAUACCAUUGUCUAGCGUAAUAUAAUAAUAUAACGUCGGCAAGGACAAGAGGCGGACCAAAUGUGUGAAAGUGAGAGAAAGCAACACUAGGAAUCCAAUUAACAAUAAAAGACCAACUAGCACAUUUCCAAUUCCAAUCCGGUUGUUGCAGGGAUAUGCCGAAAGCCGAAAGGACCACUUUUCUUUUACUAGAGUCAAAAGCCACCAAAAGAAGCUCCCCCUAGAUAUGUUCAUCACCGUUCUCAUUCGAUCGGUAUCUAAUCAUGUGAAUCCCAUUAUUUAAUCUUUUUAGCUCAAUACCAUAUGAGAACACAACUUUGUGAUACUUUUAGCCCAACCAAAGUGAUUUAAAAAAGUUCAACACCUUUCUUUAAAAUGCGUCUAAGAAAGUAUAGGCUUUUCCACAUUAAAUAAAAUAAAAUAAAUAAAUAAUUGUCGACCCAAUCCAUUACUAGUUGUUUCGGCUUGCACCAGAAUCAAACGUUCCUAUCUAACUUGUACUAAAAUCAGAGCAUAAUUAGAAUAUUCGCAUGAUAAAUAAUUUGGAAUUGAUUCAAACAUUAUCUCCAACCGGCACCAUAAUUAAAAACAAAAUAAGAAUAUCUACAUGAUAAGCAAUUCGAGAUUGGUUCAGUCGAUCUUUUGGUUGUCAGUUUUUAUUACUUGAGAUUCUUUCUAAUUGUGUGUGUAUAAGUCAUCAUUGACUUUGUAAUGGAGCUACAAUUUAGAAAUCAAAAUGUACAAUUCUUCUUCGUUCUCUUCUUAGCUUUGUCUCUCAUGCUUAUUUCACCCCGUCAACUUGCGGGGAAUGUUGACCUUGUCUCCCACUAUUCCAGGUCCUUCCAAAAUCUAAACACGAACAGAAUAUUCGCAUAAUAAUGCAAUCCGAGAUUGAGUCAAAUUUGUGAAGUUACAAUUUCUUUUAUCAAUAUUUAUUACUUGAGAUUCUUUCUAAGUAUAUAUAUACACAAUUUAUAAAUUUGCAUAUAGAAAUCUUCUCAAUUAUUUGUUUCCUCCAUCCUUAUUUUUAUCUACACUUUUAACAUGACAUGUCAAAUAUCUUCAAUUUGUUUUUUUCGAUUAAUUUUUACUCUACUCUUAAUUUAAACCUCACGCUCAAACUUUUGCUUAAUUUCAUCGUAGGGUGUGCUCAAUCACCCCCACCCCUACUUCCUUUGAAAAGGUGGGGAUUUGAAUCCCCACCUCCUUCUUGAAUGGUGAUCAUUUGAGUAAACACCGGUGGUUGAAUAUCUUCAAUUAAAAAGUACUAUUUUAUACUUGUGGGAUGAUGUUAGCAUCCGUUAAGUGUCCCAUGAAAAUUUGCGAUUCCACACGGCAGUCUUAUGUGGAUGAUAAUUUGCAACGGUCAUAACCUGCAGUGGUUAAGAUAAUUAAAUUGUUAAUUUUAUAUAGUUGACAUCAUUAAAAUAAUUAGUGUCCUUAUUUCUCCAAGAAAGAAAGAGGACGCGAGAAAAAUGAUUCCGGUCGGGAAACUUUCAAAAUGUCAAAGAAUAAUGUAGAAAAUGAAGAUCCACUAGAUUCUGUAUAAUCAUGAUGCACUUGGAACGGUUCACUAAUGUAUUCAAUUUAACUUAAUCGCAUUAAUAUGUUGCUUCCACUCUCUUUUGAGAAAGUAUGCAAAACAACAGUAAAAUCAACCACAAAGGAAGCUUCGAUUACUUGUUUGGUGUCUUAGAAAGAGAUUAUUCCACGAUGAUUCAGAAUCGAUGACAGAAUUGGCCAAACAAAUCAAGAGUAGGUUUCGAGUUCCUCCUCUUAUUACGCUUGAGCCCUUUUUGCUCAUAAGUAGACACCCCAAAUGAUCCAAUUGAUACGAGACUAACACAAGCAAUAAGCGAAUAUCAAGCUAAGUAUUGAGUUUCUCAUCUGCAAUAUCGUUGUGAUCACUAUCAUUUUUACAUGAUUAGAAAAUAUAAUAAUCCGAUUCAUUUACUUACUCGGAAAAACUCGACGUGCCUAUCUUCUCUAGUGAUAAAUAUUCACGUGUUCUGAUUUAUCGGUUAAAUUUUUAGUAAGAUGAUGACGUGUGGACCGGUGAAAAGCCUGACAAGUCAACGAAGCAAAGAUCGAGCGCUCGUCGGUAGACUUGUGGACGAGAACUUGUGACCAUCCCCGAGCGACACGAGGAAUCUUGGUACCGAACGAAGUGGAAUUGUCAAUGAAAAUUGUAUGAAUGCCUCGUGAGUUGACUGACUAAAACUCUCCAAGCCAUCUUUAGUGCUCCAAGUAGUCUAGUCCCCACCCUAUCCUUUUUCUUUUCGCAUUCCCAUUUAUUUUAAAUGCCAUUUAUUUCAUGAAAAAAUAUAUAAUUUAAAAAGUAUUUUCUUAAAAUAAUAAUUUACAUAACUUGAGAGAACUAAAUUUUCAUUAUCAAAACAAUUUAUGUUCAAAUAUCUUUGUGGAUGAUGAUUUUUUUGUUGUUGCACAUUGACCUUUGUAAGCAAUAUAGGCAACUAUUUUUAAGAAAAUAUUUUUUGAAUGAUUUAUUUUUCGUGAAAUAAAUGGUGUCUUAAUUGAUAACUAACUAAAUUUAUCCCCGGUCUGGUUACAUAAGUAGGUUGGUGUAAAACUCAGCUGAUUGUUAAGAUGUCAGAUUCUAAUGUUGCCGAAAGCAUAGACGCAAAGGCCAUCUUGACUUUGCUCAUAUUAGAAAAAGAAUGCGGUCCACAAUUACGGCUACUUUAAACAAUCAAUUCAUCGGGAAAAUACUUACAUGAAAUUAGUAUGCUUGGUAGAUUGAUUCUGGGUCAAUGAAAAUGACGUGAUCAAAUUCAUUUUAUUUGUCUAUACCGAAUAAUUUAAUGUCCUUGAAAUUGAUCUUCCAUCUUCGGACCACAUAUACCGUGCAUAAAUGGAGGAAGAUCAUGUGUGUAUAAAGAGCACAUAACUCCAUUAUCAAGCGAUGUGAGAUAUCUUCAAAGGUCCUCCACUUAAAAUGAGUAUAACAAAUGAGUCUUACCCAAUAUAUUUUUCCUUCAAAUCCUAAGAAUGCAGAGUGUCCCCACUUGGUUUGCAUCUUCCCCAGCUAACUGAAGCUUAAUUAACUAAAGAUCAAUCUGGCAGCUCCAUACCUCGUUAGAUUCAACCAGUUUGAGUGCUUGAGUAAAUACACGGUGGGUGCAAAUGUGGGUAAUCAACCAGUCUGUAAGAGAAUGGAUCUGCUUGAACUAAAGGGACUUAUAAGUAACCUGUCCUAAUAUUCGCAAUCCUUUCCUUUAAACCCCAUUAACCAUCCUGUAUACAAUAUUGUUCACACCGAAAAAUGACCAACUAAAGACUAAGUCUUUUAGUCUUUAGUGAAACAAACGGGAAAAAAAAAUAUAUAUAUAUAUAUAUAUAUAUAUAUAUAUAUAUAUAUAUAUAUAUAUAUUUUCUCGAUUUGGUCUAUCCAGACAUUCCAUGCGUUCAAAAAUAUGCCUGUGGAUAAUGGAGAAGUACCAAGUUUUCCGUGAAUCUCUCCACUUGAGAAACAGAAAGUUAAUCCAUAUCAACUCCCCGUAUCUGUAACCUUAAAACUACAGCUAAUGGAAUUUCUUAGUCCCCACAUUUGCACCCACCGUGUAUUUAUCAAUUUACAUAUUUAUAAAAUCUCACGAGGUAUGGAAGCUGCAUCGUAUCACAUGCUCUCCUAGGAUAAACAGACUUAUCCAUGUCCUUGAGCUCAACCCGAUUCUAUCUUCAAUUUUAGUUUUCUUAACCCGAGGUUCUCAAUUUAAUUUGAAACUACACGCUCCUGCUCAGGACCACCUCACACGUUUUUGGUUCAAUGUACAGUCUGGUAAAGCAUAUCUUUGUCCAUUCAAAGGAAUUUACUCUCAAGAAUUAUUGCAUGUUAAUUUAAAAUCUUUAUUAUGAUUGUGACCUGAAAAGUUUGUUCUACACGUAUAUCUUUUAGAUAAGAUGAACACUCUUAAACGUGACAUGUUUUAUCGAAAUUGAUUGUAUUGAGAAAUCAAAAUUGUAAUUCUUCGGCAAAAGUUUUAUAGACAUGUUUAUUAGAAACUUCAGCAAACAAGAAUAUGCAGUCUACCAGAAUUCAAGUAUGAAUAUUUCAUUCACCAAAAAAGAGGUAUGCUGUUACAAAGAAAUGAACGUUUCAUUCACAAAAAAAGAGGUAUGCUGUUACAAAGACAUCGUACAAUAGACUUGAACAAGCCUAAUUGUAGAACUUUUAUUUACUUGGAAAUAUAUUGAGGAAAUUCAAAGAGAAAACUUGUUCUAUUGUGUGAUAACAAUCAAACGCUUGUUGAAUCAUCAAUAGGAUGCCAGAUUCUAUUGAAGAACCACAUAGAAUCGGCUUCCGCUGCAUAUCCAUCCUGGUUUCUGUGCCAACUAUAAUAUGCAUGCGUUCGGUUCUUAAUAUCGAAAAUUGCAUGGCCAAAGCUGGCUUCGCGGUAGGCCGAGUAUUUUGGCUGGGGUUUUGUCAUGCUGCAUAACGAAAUCAGAUAUGCACAUGAUCCAAUGCCAACCCAGAAUAGUCAUAAAAAAAGUUGGGUAGUGCUUUGUGAGGUGGAUCGUCUUACUUGGUGGACAAACCUUCAAUAUUGCCUCCAUCGCCAAUCGUUAUGUACACUAGAGCUGAUAGAUUAUCAUUGGAAAUUGUGAUUCAUUUUCUCUAAAAUUAUAUGGAUAAAAUUUUUUAUUAUAAUAGUUGGAGAAGUUUCUGGUACUAUGUAGGCAGCAAGACUAUGUGGGCAGUAAGAAGUCAAUUUAGAGAAAUAAACUAAAGUCAUUAAAAGGAGCUGUAGAAUAUAGAAAAAUGGAGAAUAAGGGAGAAGCAACGAUAAGAUCUCGAAGAAAGAAGAAAAGGAAAGCAAAGUCCAACUUGAACUUUGACUAGCAGCAACAAGCAGGAGAUAAAGAAGCAAGCUGAAAUUUUAUAUUAUUUUAUGUACUCUUAAGUUGGUAGAAUAAGACGGUAACUCACGCUUAUAAAUAGGCUUGUAAUUGAUCAUUUGUGUGUGUGUGGGGGUAAACCCUCCACCUUGUGUGGGGUGAACCCUCCACCGUGAAAGAUCUUAGACCUCCACCAUAACCAUAUGGAGAGUGACUACUAGGGGUGAGCAGCGGUCUAGGGUCGACCCUGGACUGACCCUGGACCGGCCCAACCUUGCCGAUCUUGGUCUAGUUCCCAAGGGGACCGGGUCGGUCCUUGGUCCUGAAAUUCCAAGACCAACACUGUGCGGGUUGGUCCUCGGUCCUGAGAGUUUUGGGUCGGUCUAACCCUGGAUCAACCCUGUAUAUUAUUAUAUUAUAUUAUUUAUAAUUCUUUUAUAUAUUCAAAUCUAAGUAAAAUGUCUGUUCAAAGAAAAAAAAAACCCAAGUAAAAUGAUGUUAAAGCUGUUGACUCCUCAGGCUCACAGUCACGGAUAGACGGCAUCCAAUUCCAAAAGGCAUGAAGUUUACGCUGUAAAGGUCUUCACGGCCUCCUCCUCCACAGUCCAGAGUACGCUCUUCCGUGAGGACCAAGGACUCCUCACAGUCACGGACUCACGACAUCCAAAAUGGCGCGAAGUUUACGCCGUAAAUCUCCUCACGGCUUCCUUCCCCAAAGUACAUUAUCUUCCAUUCUGUCUUCUUUGUUCUUCAAUUUGCCAAAAUCAAAAGUAGCAACAUCCCGCUUGCCACCUUGUGGACACUAUCUUGUCCCAUAUCUCAAUGAGUGUUAGCAGGUACAAAAUUUUUAUUAUUGUGUCAUCUUAAAUUUGCUGAAUAUGUUUUGGUAUUUAUAGUUUAGUUGCAUAAUGCCGCAUUGUGGAUGUAUGCGUAAUUUGAAUUUGUAGGUUUGCUUUUUUAGGGAGUAUAAAAAACAAGACGAAAAAAUUAUUGAUCGGUCCUGGGUUGACCCUGGAACCGGACCGAACCCAUUGGGUCGGUUCGGUCCUUGGUCCCAGGCUCAAUAGGGUCGGUCCUCGGUCCUAAAAAUUGAGGACCAACACUGUACGGGUUGAUCCUAGGGUUAGGGGGUGGCUUGGACCAACCAGGACCAUGCUCACCCCCAGUGACUACUGACUACCAAUACCUCCAUCAAACUAAUUUGUUCAACUAAUGAAACUAUUUUCCCAUAUCCCAUGUCCUAUAUCCUUCAAUUAUCUUAUCUUGUCGUUUGUCCAUCCACUAUGAACUAUAACACACAUUUGCACACAUCACUAAUAAAAAACUAUCAUCAAUACCAAAACCAUGCUUUUGCACGCACACAUCCAAAAUUUUUAACAUAGUAUUAGAGCUAAAAUUCGCCUAGGUUCGUAACUGAGCUAGGCAUAGGGGACCAUGAAGCCAGAGCUAGGCAUAUCAGAUGGUUAUGGGCGUUUGUCCUCACCAUCCUCAACUAAAAAGGCUAGAGCUCGAGCGAGAGCCAGAAUAAAAGGCCAGAGCCUGAAUGAGAGCCAAGAAAGCCAGAGCCAAAAUCAAAGCUGGAGCCGGAGCUAAAGCUAGAGCCUAUGAGAGCCAAAGCCAGAGCUCGAGCUAACAACUACAACUAACAACAUUUUGAUGCUCCGAGACAUAUGGGGCAUCGUUGAAGAAAAAACAUGCACAUCAUCUAAAGAUAGGUGCAAGUGUUUCAACAAGAGAAUGCAAGGGAUCAUGGAACGAAGAUGGAAUAAAAGAAAUGGGACAAACUACAAGAGAAAUUUCAAGGUACGUCUGAGACUUAAUAAUACAAUGUCCAAAUUAUCCCGAAAAUGGAUCAAAGGGAAGUGUUGGAAAUUAUGAUCCAUUUUCUCUAAAACUAUAUAUAAACUACUAACUUAAUCAUGAAUGCAAGAACCUUCGUAGCAGCAUCCAUGUUGAAGAUUGUCUAGAAUUGUUGAGAAUGUAGGUUGCUAGAUGAACCUAGAAGAUUCACGUGGAAUGCAAGCAAGCAGAAGCCAAGUUGAAGAAGAAAUCCUAGAACAAGCUAGAGAAGUCUACGUGCAUGGGAAAUCUUGAAAAUAAGUCAACAAUGGCUGCUUAACCAUGAAGGAAGAAGGAUUAAGAGUACGUGGGUAGUAAGAGUACUUGGAGAAGAAGAAAAAUAGUUGUCUUACUACUGUGCUAUGGCGGUGAAAAAAGUAAAAAUUAUCAUGCUGGUAGUCGGUAGAGUUGCUCUAUAAAUAGAGCCUAGAAUCAUUCAUAUAGCGUGUGAGGUGAACCCUCCACCUUGUGUGUGGGGGUAAAUCCUCCACCGCGAGAGGUCUUAGGCUCCGUUUGGGAACAGCUUUCCCAAGGAUCUUUGAGGGUCCAAAGGCCUUUGGGCCAAAUGUUGAGUGUUUGGCAAUUUUUUUUCACUUGCCUUUGCCAAAGGCAAAGCCUUUCCAAGGCUGAAAGCCCAAGGCAAGUUGGGGGCUGCCUUGGGCAUUCUUGGCAUGCUAGCUUUGAGAAUAAUAAGUUUUUUCUUCCGAAAUUGUCCUUGUUAAUUUUUCGUUUUUCCGGCUUUACCCCGAUAACUGUUCAUCAUCUUCAUCCUUCCUUUCUCUCUACUGAGAACACGGCCAGCAUCGGCAAGUAGUCGCCGGCGAAAGGCGGGCGGUCCGGCGAAGGGCAGGUGGUUCGGCUAGGGUCCCACGACCCUCCGAAGAGGGUCACCGCGUGGAAGACGCCGGCAACCCAGAUCAUGCGCAGAUCUGGGUCGCGGAGACCAAAUCGCGAGUGCCGACGACCUCCGCGGGGCGGUGGGUCGCACGACGGCUCGGCGAGGGUCGCAGCGACCCUCGCCGAGCCCGUGUCCUCCGCACGAUGAUGCUAGCCGGGACGCUGCCCUUCGCCGCGCCGCCCCGCCUCCCCCUCGUCGGAUAGCCUACCCUUCACCGCGCCGCCUCCCCCUCGCCGGACCGCCUACCCUUCGCCGGCAGCCGACGAAGCCCUUGGCCGGCCAACUCUCAUUUUUUCCCUUUUUUUUUUAAUAAAAAAGCAUUUUGCAAAUUUAAUUUAUCCAAACACUAUUUUACUCAAACAUACUUCACAAUGGACUUUCACAAGUACUAUUUACCAAACACGAUUUGCAUUUUAAAAAACUCAUUUGACUCAAGUAUCUUUACAUUUUCUCAAGGACUUUCCCCAAAAGUCUUUCCAAACGCACCCUUAGACCUCCACCAUGACCAUGUGAGGAGAUGAGCUUAAAAAUCUUCAUCAAACUAUUUUGUUCAACUAAUAAAACUAUUUCCCCCAUAUCUCGUGUCCUAUAUCCUCCAAUUAUCCUAUAUUGUCUAUUGUCCAUACACUACAAACUAUACCAUUCAUUUGCACACAUCACUAAUCAAACUAUCAUCAAUACCAAAACUAUGCUUCUGCACGCGCACAAUUCAAAAUUUUUUAACAAUCAUUAAUAGGGAUACACAAGCCGUUCACAAUGUUGUAUGCAAUGUUAGAUACACGUUCUUGUGACACUCAUGAAUUAGCCAGUGUCCUCUUACCCUCUUACAAUUAAACAAGACAAACAAAUAACAGAAUUUUUGGUUUCUUGCUCAUCUUUGCAACAUUUUGUACAUGGAAAAAUCAAAUUGUGUAUUUUGAUUUCGUAGGACAGACAUCGCCUAUGCUGUCAUCUCCUUGGAAAACAUUGAAAUUGAUAGUUUGAUUGUAACAACUCAUCAGAGCUGGCUUUACGCUUCUUCCUAUGGAAACAUUAUUGUUGAAAUAAGGCUGAAAAAUUAGAUGAUAAGGAAAAGGAAACAUUUGGCCUUACAGAUCGUUCAUAGGCAUGGACAUGCCCUGCAAACACCACAUCUACUUUGUAUUUCACGAACCAGGAUUCGUACAUCACUCUCAUGGUUUCUCCUUCCAUGUAAUGAUAGUUGUAGCUAUUGUACCAUGGAGAGUGCAUCGUAACAAUCAGCCACGGUGUCUCGGUCCUGUUAACUUUUGGUAGCUCUUGUUGAAGCCAUAGGUACUGGGGAGUAUCUUUACCUUAGGAGUGAAAAGAGUUAAAAGGAAAUAAGCAGAAGUGAGCUGCGAAGGAAAUAGGCAGAAGUGAGCUGCGACAUUCAAUAAGAAAUGGCAUUCUGAGAGACAUGGCUCUAUUGUACAUCUUGAUAUAACCGUACAUGUUAUAAUGAUAUCGAAUCAAAACCAUUUUAGCGCCUAACGAACUUUCAUUUUCUUUAAUGGAUGUUUGAGUUAAACGAUGAAUAUUUGCUCCCAACAUCUAUUUGCAGUCUAUUUUAUUAAAAAUGUUUUUAAAUGAAUGGAUCCGCAUUCCUCCACACAUAUGAAAACAAAAUUUCAUAUUGAUUCUUCAUCUAAUUUCGACCUUGCAGAUAAAUGAACAUUAUUAUAUCCCCAAAAUUUGCUCAUAAACAUGGGAGGUGCCGUGGAGUAGCAUCUCAUUCGCUUCUAUGUUGGCAGGAUAGUCGAGGACGUAGAAAUAAUACCAUAUGCAAUGUAUGACGACAAGACUAUGAUGUAAGCCGAAGCUCGCUUGAUCGAGUACCGAAAAGGUGCGGUGCUGUUUGAUGCUCUAUAAGGGACGUGGUAUCUGUGCGAAAAGGGCAUGAAGGGUUCAUUUUCUCCUUGCAGAAAAGAAAAAUGUACAACACCAUCAGGGUUGUCGUUUGCAUGAAUUCGUACAUAACUUCCAUAAUAAGAAGAUGAUCUAGGUAAUGAAUAGGAAAUGGUAGUUAGAAAAUGAAAGGGCGAGGACUUCGUCCCCUGUAUAUUUCUUGUAACAUCACAAACUCUGAUAUUGUAAAGCGUCCAUAUGUUCUGUGAAGUUACACUAGGUGACGGUUUAAGUUCUACUACCAACGUCUCGCCUUAUAUAAACCUCCAGAAUUAAUUUAUUUCUUCCUUCAGUAGAUGAACAAUGCAAUAUGAUCACAAGGAACUUGAAUAGAAGUUCUUAGCUACCAAAAGCAGCAAAGGAUUGUUUGAUCUAACAAUCCGUAUCAAAGCAAAUUACCAAUUAAUCAGAUAGUAGACUUUUUGCUGUAAUGAAUCAAGACGGAAGUUGAUGGAUUAAGGCUUAUGUGACUCCGAAUGCAAAUAGAUAAUUCUUAGUGGAAACAUAAUUCUAGCACUCACAAUUUCAGGAGCGAAGUCAAGUUCGUGAUUUCCUGCUGUCAAUAUCCAGGGUUGAUAAGCUACACUUCUUUCAACAAACCUUCCCCAUGUAUCCCACCUCACAUUGUCGUGGUCCAGAUAAUUUUCCGCGUACGACAAGUCUCCAACAUACAAUAGUCUGUCCUUUCUGUGGAUUCUGUUCGUAAUGGGUGAGCGUUCGGUUUGAAUCAGAAGCCUGACCAAGAUCCCCUACAAUGUUCAUUGGCGUGCUGAGCAUAGAAAGGAGUAGAACCACGGAUGCAUGUAAAUUAACUGCAACUAAAUUUGCUGCAACUCACUGAUGAACUUGAUUAUCAAAACUAAAUGAUUCUGCAAAGAUCUAUAGAACAUACACAGGAAUGAGCUUUUGAAGUUACUCUGAGUCAUUGACUAUGCAUGCAUGAUAAUAUGAUUUACUUACCUAUGAGACUGAAAGUGUAUGGAACAUCAGGGCCAACCUCUGGAGGAGCAAUGAACCAAAACUGUCGGACCGUGUGUCCAAUUCCAACCUCAUAAUAGUAUUUGGUGUUGUACUGGCAGUAAACGAAACAAACAUUAGCUACAUUUACCAAAUUUAACGGCCCAAGCACCAAAAGAUUAAAAUUUCUGGAGGAAUCAAGAGAUUUACCAUCGAGUUGUUGAGGGUACAAUGUUGGAUGUAACCAGAAGUGUAAUUGUAGAACUGAUAACGAUAAACUUUGCCCUUUGCCGUUUUCUUGUGCUCGUUGUUCUUGCUCCAGUAGAGCACUUCACUGGACCCAGUUUCAUCCGGGGUCACCCAUGACACGAUCACUCCUUUUCCCACAUGAUCUCCUUGUGUUAUAUGUACCUAUAGACUCAUGCCAAACCCAAAACCAAAUUAGAAACCACAGAAUAUGUAAGGAAAUUAACAGCAGUAACCUCUAACAUUACAUCGCAUCUGAUGGCUUUUUAAUUAGUGAUGGGCCUAAGUUGGCCCGUUCGCCCAUGCUGGGCCAAAAAGGCCUGGCCCACGGGAAUAGGGCCCGUGGAGGGGGAAGGUAUAAAAGGGAGGAGAAAGAGAGAGAAGACACCUUUUGGAAUUAGAACGUACGUACGUUCUCUCCCUCGCUCUCUCUCCAACAAAAGAAAAAGGAUAGUAAGCACAAGGCCACUGUUUUCUCCCCUUCAAGCGUCAUCGGAUCGAACAAGGGAUAAAUUCUCUUCCUCUCUUCGGCAUUGGUGUCUAAUCUGUGGCUAACAAGGUACACUCGACUCCGUGGUGUGCUUUACGAUCGGUGAUACGUGUUUUCCUGGGGUUCGUCUUCCGCAUUGAUUUAAGGGUUUGAUUUAGUGUCGAAUCCGGUUUUCGGGGAUCCGUUAUUCUCAACAUUGGUAUCAGAGCCCUAGUUCACGUUUUCACGAUCGAUUUGAUGUUUUUUGAUUGAUUUUUCGCAAAAAAUUUUCGGCCGUACGGAUCGGGGCGAGAAAUCCCGACACCCGAGCGUUGUUCGGCCAUUUUUCUGAGUUUUCGUAAGUCGAAAUCGUUUAGAAAGGCGAUGUCGAGACGACUCCGGCGACAUGUCGCACGCCGCCGUACGACACCGCACGCUCCCACACGAGCGGCCAGAAGCCGCUGCGCGUGGGCGCGACGCGCCCGAAGCGCUGGCUAUGGCUAGCGCGUGCGCCACACGCGUCGGUGACGAACCGGCACGUGCGCGCUGGCGACCGGCGAAACGGCACGUGCCGGUCGGCGAACCGACGCGUGCUGACGUCACCUGAUGAUGUCAUCGUGACGUCACCCAACGGUCGAUAACCGUCGGGAUGAUGUCAUUGAUGACGACGGUUGGCCGGCCGGCGACCCAACCCGACCCGAUCAGCCUGGCGCAUGCCGCGCACGUGCGGCUGACGUCACGCAGACGUCGUGUGGCUGACGUCUGCGUGACGUCAGCACGCUCACGCGCGAGGCACGUGCCGGCUGACGUCUGCGUGACGUCAGCCAGUGCACGCGCGUGGCACGUGCGGUCGGUUCGUCCGAUCGGCAUGGCCGGUCCGACCAGCCCGACCGGCCCGACCGGUCCUCUGACCCGCGCGCUCGUUGACCCGACCCGUUGACCGACCGUUGACGCGUUGACUUUGACUGUUGACCGUUGACCCGAAAAAAAAAAAGGAAUUUGUUUCUUUUUUCAAUUAUGUCUGUGUGGGUUGUAGGUAAUCCAUUUUUAUUCUGCAUUUUUUGCAUGAAUCAUGGAAAUUUAUGUAUUUUCCAUUUUGUUCAUUAUGGAUUAUAAGUGAUCCAUUUUAGUUCUGCAUUUGUUACAGGAACUAUGAUGCGUUAUGCACGGAUACCUGCAAUCCCAAGAACGGACGAAGGAAGAGCUAGACUGAAAAGGCUGAUGAAAGAGUUAGCUGAUUAUCGGUGGCUUGAUGGUGAUUUAGUAUCACACAUGGUCAAGGUCAAUCAGAUGAUACAGGAAAUCAUCUGGAAUGGUUAUCUUAUGCCGGACUUUGAGAAGGUGCCGGCUUUGAUGAACACUCUUCCACCUGAAUGACAAGCAGUGUUAGAUCGGCUAUGGGAGGUCAACGUGGUCCCGGAUUACAGGGGGCUAGUGGAAGCUUUUGUAAGAGAGUACUAUAGGAUUGAGUUGGCCAAAAAUUCAACCCUUAGAUUGAGCACCACAUGGCGCAGAGUGAAUGCGCUUUGGUGGCGACAUGAGAGCUCUCCAAAAGUUUUUCCAUGGUUGUCAAAUGUACCUUUAGUUUUCUCAGAUGUUUUGACUGAUAGAUUAUAAUGGACAUUCCUUAAUUAUUUCUUAGAUUAGUUUGGGAUGUUAUUGAGUGUGAAUAUGUUUUUUCUAUGUUGAUAUUUUUCUUUGUAUAUAUUGCUUAGUGUAAUGUAUAGUUGUAUUAUGUGAAAGCACUGUUAUUUUAUUGGAUGUUAGAUAAUAUUUGCUUUCUGUUACUGCUGAUUGCUGUGGGUAGUUAGCUGUGGGUAGUUAUAGAAGUUUUUGUAACUUCAUAGAAUUGAUUUUGCAUAUGACAAUUAUAUUAAUGAUAGUUUUAAGUUAGGAUUUUUGGAGGAUGAUUGGAAACAUAGUGACCUUUUGAUUCUGAAGCCUUACUUGAAAUUAUUCAUUAAUAUGAUGGGUUUAUGUAAAAGUGGAUGCAUAAAUGAUAGGCAUUAAUUAUUCAUGCAUAUAUGUCUGAUGUGUUCAGAUCGAUGGUUUCAGCAACUAAGAAUGUAAUUGCUGAUAUGAACGGCAGCAAUUGUGAAAUAUUGAAUAUGAAGAUUCAAUAUGUGCUGAAAAAGCAAGAAGCACUAGAAGCUCUUGACCAUAUUAUGGAAGAUCUUAUAAAUGAUGUGCGCCACUUUGAGCUAGCUGAGGACCGACUAACAGCAUUUGAGCAGAAAAUAGAUAUUUGCAAUGCUGGUUCUAGCUCAGAAAAGGCUUUGUGCUCUAAGCGCAAGCGUAUUGAUUUAUUCAAUAUGUGGGAAUGCAAAUGAUCAAGUCCUUAUUGCAAGAAAUCAAGAGUUAACCAACACAAGAGAGGAAAAUGUCCUCAAGUAAAGAAAAUGUCAAGGGUUGUUACAAUUGUGACAAGAGAGGUCACUAUGCUCGCAACUGUUGUGAGCAAAAGAAAAAAAGAUAAACACCUCUUGCACAUUUGAGAACUUUGCUUAUGUGUCGAGUUCUGCAUUAUUGGUUGAAUCCAAUCCUUUGUGGACUGUAGAUUCAGGAACGACAGACCAUGUAAGGAAUGAUAGAGGAUCCUUCAUGAAAUUCCGACGAUACCAACCGGAACUAUGUGGAUCUAUGUGGGAAAUAAUUUCAGAGUUGAAGUUAAAGGGAUUGGCAUCUGCCAAUUGAAUAUGCGUGGUGGACGCACCUUGUUCCUACAUGAUGUCCUAUAUGCUCCAGAGGUUCGUCGAAAUUUAAGUGUCUGUUUUGAUGUUGGUUAAGCUUGAUUUUAGUAUGAACUUCCAUAAUAGAUGUGUAGAUUUGUAUUUGGAUACAAACUACUAUGAUUUUGGUCACUUUCUAGAUGGUUUUAUUGUACUAAAUGUUAACUGUGGUGAUGUCAAUAUGUUAUUCCCUUGUUUCACGUCUUCUACUUUAUAUGAUAAUGAUGUGAAUAUGGUGACAUGCUAGACUUGGUCAUAUGGGCCAACAACAUAUGAAAAGACUAGCCAAAGAGGGCUUGUUGGGCAAUAUUGAAAAAGUCGAUUUGCUCAUAUGUAAGCAUUGUCUAGAAGGGAAAACGACAAGGAAACCAUUUGAAAAAGAUAAAAGAGCUGAAUUUCCUCUGCAUUUAAUCCAUUCUGACGUCUGUGGUUCAAUGAAUGUGAGAGGAAGGCAUGGGGCUGUUUAUUUCAUCACUUUUAUAGAUGAUUAUACUCGAUUUGGAUAUGUCUAUUUGAUUUCUCAUAAAUCUGAAGCAUUAUGUUGUUUCAAAAGGUUUAUGAACUUGGUUGAAAAUCAAUUAGACAAGAAAAUAAAAGUAUUUAGAUCCGAUCGAGGUCGAGAAUAUUUAUCUGAUAAGUUCAGAAAAUUAUGUGAUGAAAAAGAAAUAGAAAGAUAGUUAUCUAUUCUAUAUACUCUUCAACAAAAUGGUGUUACAGAGAGAAGAAACAGAACCCUACUGGAAAUGGUUAGGUUCAUGAUGGCGCAUGCUAACUUACAUAUCAUUUUUUUGGAGUGAUGCAUUGUUAACUGCUGCCUAUAUACUUAACCGGGUGCCUUCCAAAUCAGUUAGUUCCACUCCAUAUGAGUUAUGGACAGGUAGAAAACCGGACUUAGGUUUUCUUAAGUCAUGGGGUUAUGCUGCCUAUAAUGAAUCCUCUCACAAAUUUGGGAAAUAUGGUCCCAAAUGAAAGAAGAGUAUUUUCAUGAGAUACUCCGAACACUCGAAAGGGUAUGUGUUCGUAGGUGAGCAGGAAAGUGGGAGUAUAACUGAAUUUGAAUCACAAGAUGUCACAUUCUUAGUGGAUGAAUUUCUUAAGAAGGGCGAAAUAGGAGAAGAUUAUUCCCUAUUUGAAACAUUGGAUAAAGAUAAUGAUAUUAAUGGAGUUCGUCCAAGUGGGAGUAAUAUGAGAAGUGAUGAAUUGAAUUCAACUCAUUCUCAAUUACAACCACAUGAUGAGAUGAUAUCGUCAUUAUCUAAUCCGAGUGGGAGCAUAAUUGGGAACGAUGUGCUAAGUGUACAAUCUCCCAUAUGGCGAACAAGUUGCCAAAGUAUUCCCCGUCGACGUUUUGACAUUGAAGGGGAAACUUUUAUGGUUGCUCCACAAGAUGAGGAUAAGUCAAUAAAUAUUAAUGAGGCUCUAAAUUGCCCUAGUAAGGAAAAAUGGAUUUAUGCAAUGAAAGAGGAGAAUGAGUCAAUGAAAUCAAACCAAGUUUGGGAACUGGUUGAUCUUCUAAAAAGGACGCAGAGCUAUUGGGAACAAGUGGGUUCUCAAAAUAAAGCAAAAGGCUGAUGGCUCGAUAGAAAGGCAUAAGGCUCGCCUUGUGGCGAAGGGGUAUAAUCAACAGAAAUGAAUUGAUUAUGAAGAUACGUUUUCUCCUAUAGUGAGAUUUACCUCGAUUCGCAUUAUUCUGGCAAAAGUGGUUAGUAUGGAUCUUGAGUUAUAUCAAAUGGAUGUAAAGAUUGCUUCCCUUAAUGGAGAAUUAGAGGAAGUAAUGUAUAUGGAACAAUCUGUUGGUUUCAUAGUGAAAGGCCAAGAAGAAAAUGUAUGUCGACUUUGGGGGUCGAUAUAUGGCCUUAAGCAGUCGUCAAGACAAUGGUAUAUAUGUUUUUUUCAUAAUGCCAUAAUGGCAUAUGACUUUACAAUUAUUAAUGAGAAUCAUUGUGUAUAUAUCAAAAGAUCCAAGGAUCAAUUUGUGAUCAUAUCAUUAUAUGUUGAUGAUAUACUAAUUGCCGGAAGUAAUAUGGAGUUUGUCAAUAUUGUCAAAAGUUGGUUGUCUUCCAAUUUUGAAUUGAAGGAUAUGGGAUUGUAAACCCAUAGACACUCCUAUUGCAAAAGGUGAAGGAUUGAGCCAUAAACUGUGUCCAAGGACUCCACAAGAAAAUGAACAAACGAAAUAUGUUCCUUAUACUAGUGCUAUGAUGUGUACAAGACCUGACAUAUGUUAUGGAGUUGGAAUGGUGAGUAGAUACCAAUCCAAUCAAGGUCAAGCACGUUAGAAAACCGUUAAAAGAAUACUAUGGUAUCUAAAGAAUACUAUGGUAUCUAAAGGGAACUGCUGAUUAUAUGCUGAGUUAUUAAGGAAAGGAUCUGCGACUCAAAGGCUAUUUAGAUGAAAGAAAAUCUAUCUCUGGGUUUGUUUUCUUACCGAAUAAUGGCACCAUAUGUUGGAGCAGUAAGAAACAAAAGUGUAUAGCCUUGUUCACGAUAUAAGUUGAGUUCGUGGCAUUAUCAGCAGCAGUAUAAGAAGGUGUUUGGCUUAAGAGAUUUUUUGGAUCAUUUAGGUGUUAUUGGAAGUGCUGCAGAUUCAUUAUUGGUUAACUGUGAUAGCCAAGCAGCAAAAGUGUACACCAAAGAUCCAAAAUAUCAUGGCAAGACCAAACAUAUAGAUACCAAGUAUAAUUUCGUCAAAAAUAUGGUUGCACGAAAAGAUGUGAACUUAUAGUACAUACUACGCAUAGAAUGGUAGCAGAUCCUAUGACAAAGCCAAUACCUAGAGAUGUGUUUUGUGGCCAUAUGAAAUCUCUAGGACUGCGUAAAGGCUAAUGUACUGAAUAUUAUAAUUUUCCCUAAGUGUUCACAUAUGAUGAAUUUAUGUUUUUUCAUCAUUAAUGCCUAUGAAUCUUUGUUUGAUCUUUAUGCAUCUUAAUGCUCAGUGCAUUACUUUAAGUUAGGAAAGUAUGUCGGACAGAUAUGAGAUUAGCCCACUCACACGAGUAAUCGCCUCUAUUUACUGUGUGAUAAAUAGAGAUGAGACUGUUUUUAAGCUUAUUAUCUAGGUGAUAAUCGAGAGCUCAAGCUUAAAACACGUAUGUCGCCUUAACUGGGUGUUAAGAUGAGGACAUAAUACUUACUAUGUCCGAGAGUAAAAUACCCCACAUAUUUUACUUUAUCUGUCUAUGAUGCCAGAUGUGAGUUCUGAUGAAUUUAGUGAAUGAUACGUGAACUCAAGUUAGACAUUGGGUAUGUCUGAACUAUCAUCUGUACGGUAUUGAAAGGUGUAAACAUACGCUCCAUGGGAAAUGAGUUGAUACCGUAAUACGUAUUUCAUACUACGUAUGCAUGAGACGACCAAUAAGAGUGGCAAAAGUUUGAUCUCAACCUUUUUUAUGUCGUGUGAGACUCUUGAGGAAAAGAGUUCCUCAAUUUUUUAGUCCCCUCAUGACUCUUACUUAUCCUCAAGAUUUAUAUUUAGUGUUUGCUAUCUUAGGAUGUUGCCAAUGGUCAUGUGUUGAUUCGAUCUAAUGGGGCAUUUCUAGAAAAGCAAGCUGAACUGAAAUUGAGAGUUUGAAGGAAAGAGGAAGAUCGAAUUUGGAGAAUCACAUUGUAGUUUUUGUAUUCACCGGUUAACCAAUUAUGACUGUCUUUGUGAUAAUCAUAAUUGUGAAUACAAUAUAUAUAUCAUUGUUUAAAAGAGAUCAAGAGAGAUAUAAAUGUGAUCGAUCGAUCUAGGGUACUGCAUACUAAAUCUACUCAAAGUGUGAUGCCCAAUUAUGAGCUGCUACAUAUUCCUAAAAGAUGUAUAGCAACGAGCUCUCAAAGUAUGCUGGUUGCACGGAUUAUUCACCGGUAUGAAUGUUGAAGAGAGGUAAAGAGAAUUCUGUUCGGCCCACCAUGUGUGAGUGGGAGAUGAUGGCUUUUUAAUUAGUGAUGGGCCUAAGUUGGCCCGUCCGCCCAUGCUGGGCCAAAAAGGCCCGGCCCACGGGAAUAAGGCCCGUGGAGGGGGAAGGUAUAAAAGGGAGGAGAGAGAGAGAGAAGACACCUUUUGGAAUUAGAACGUACGUACGUUCUCUCCCUCGCUCUCUCUCCAACAAAAGAAAAAGGACAGUAAGCACAAGGCCACUGUUUUCUCCCCUUCAAGCGUCAUCGGAUCGAACAAGGGAUAAAUUCUCUUCCUCUCUUCGGCAUUGGUGUCUAAUCUGUGGCUAACAAGGUACGCUCGACUCCGUGGUGUGCUUUACGAUCGGUGAUACGUGUUUUCCUGGGGUUCGUCUUCCGCAUUGAUUUAAGGGUUUGAUUUAGUGUCGAAUCCGGUUUUCGGGGAUCCGUUAUUCUCAACAGCAUCGAUACAAAACUGAGUUGAUUCAAGCUCGUCCCAGAAGUCAACCAUUAGACGAGUCACAAAAAUACAAAAGGAAAAGCUUGUGCUAUACUAAGAGAAAUGUUGAGGAAAAAUCAAUAGAUAGGAAAAAUAAUCGUUCAAGAUGUUAAAAACCAGAGGAGAUGCAGAUGUGUGCAGAUAUGCACAAGAGCAACGCUAAAAUAGAGGAGAACAGAGGAGAUAUCACAAAAACAGAGGAACCGUCUGUUUUACACCCAUACAUACAUAUAAAAAACUAAUGCCUUAGCCUUUAUAUAGGCUUUACAAAAACAAGUAACCACCACAGCCCACUAACUUCACACGUACAACAACCAAUCCACAUAAUAGACUAUUAACACAUAAAAACAAACCAAAAACAUUGACUUAUUCAACAUUCCCUCCCUUAAACUGAUGUUGCAAACAAUCAGUUUAAAGGACCUUCUCUCAAUUUGGAAUAUCCAACAAACGAACACCAAGGAGCUUUCUCAGCUUCUGAAACAUGGACAACUUUAGGGGCUUGGUGAAUAUAUCAGCCACUUGAUCUUCACUUCUACAGAAAACUAGCUCAACUACUUCAUCCUUUGUAAGAUCUCUUAAGAAGUGGUACUUUACAUCUAUAUGCUUGCUCCUCCCAUGUAGAACUGGAUUUUUGGACAGCUUGAUAGCUGAGCUGUUGUCACAAUAGAUUAUAGUUGCUUUUUGCUGUUUGAACUGAAGCUCUUCAAGAAUCUUCCGUAACCAUAUGGCUUGUCAAGUGCAUGAAGUUGCAGCAACAAAUUCUGCUUCAGUUGUUGAUAAAGUAACAAUUGAUUGCUUCUUUGAAGACCAUGAAACCACCCCUGAACCAAGCAUGAAUACAUACCCUGAAGUACUUCUUCUAUCAUCAACAUUUCCAGCAUAAUCGCUAUUUGUAAACCCAAACAAAUCUGACUUUUCUCCCUUUUUAUAGAACAACCCAAAAUUUUUAGUUCCUUGCAAAUAGCGAAAAAUCAUUUUUGCAACUUGUAAAUGUAGCUCAGUUGGGUGCUCCAUAUACCUGCUUAUAAGGCUCACAGCAUGCAUGAUAUCUGGUCUUGUCCCCGUCAAAUACAUCGGGCUUCCAACAAUCUGCUUGUAGAGAGUGCUAUCCACCUUGCUUCCAUAAGGAUCUUUCAAAAGCUUCAAUCCAACUUCAGUUGGAGUAGUCACGGGGUUACAAUUAUUCAUUUGAAACCUGUCCAAAAUCUCUUGAACAUACUUCUUUUGAGACAUAAAGAUUCCAGCUGCAGAUUGAAUAACUUCUAUGCCCAGAAAAUAAUGCAUCAAUCCAAGAUCAGUUAUCUCAAAUUCAUCCAUCAUAGACUCCUUGAAUUUAUCAAACAUGACACUAUCACUCCCAGUAAAAAUGAGAUCAUCCACAUAUAAGCAUACAAGAAGCAACUUUCCACCAUCACCAAUUUUAAUAAAGAGUGUAUGCUCAUAUGGACAUUUUCUAAAACCUUUCUUCAAGAAAUAGACAUCAAUGCGACUAUACCAAGCUCGGGGAGCUUGUUUUAACCCAUAUAGUGCCUUUUUUAAUUUAUAAACUUUAUGUUCACUACCGAGCUUCACAUAACCAGAAGGUUGAUCAACAAAUACCUUUUCUUGAAGAUCACCAUGCAAGAAUGCUGACUUCACAUCCAAUUGGAUGACUUCACAUCCAAUUGGAAGAUAGGCCAUGAAUUCUGCUCUGCUAAUGCAAUUACCAAUCUAAUUGUGUCAAGUCUUGCUACAGGUGCAAAUACUUCUUUGUAAUCCACUCCAAAUUCCUACUUGUAGCCUUUCGCCACCAAGCGCGCCUUAUACUUAUCAACUUCACCAUUAUUGUUCAAUUUUGUCUUGUACACCCACUUGACUCCGAUUGUUUUGUCCUUUUGGAAGAUCUGUUAACUCCCAAGUGUUAUUCCUUUCAAUAGCUGCAAUUUCUUCAUCCAUUGCUAUCCUCUAAUUUUCUUUUUGUCCUGCUUCAUCAAAAGUUGUUGGAUCACAAUCUGAAAACAAAGCAAAAUGGAUAAGUGGAUCUUCGUAUUGAUCAACUCCUGUUACUUCAUAAUCACUCAUCCAUGCAGGCCUUCGUCGAACACGAUGAGGCCGAUCUUCAGGUUCCGCAGCUGCUGCUGUACUUUGGACACUGCCUGUGGCGAUUUGGGUUGUUGUGGAUUGUUGCACUAGCCCAUUUUCAUCUUCAAAAUUCGUUGGAAUUUGCUUACCAACACCUUGUUCACCCCACGGCCAAGUUUGUUCUUCAUCAAAUAUCAUAUCACGGCUGACAAUGAUUUUCUUGGUCAUAGGAUUAUAAAGUUUAUAGGCUUUCGAUUGAUCACUAAUGCCAAGAAAAACACAUUUGACUCCCCUGUCAUCUAGCUUCUUCCUCUUUUGGUCAGGAACAUGGGCGUAGGCAAUACACCCAAAAAUCCUAAAGUGAUCUACUGCAGGUCUUUGGCCGCUCCAUGCUUCUUCCGGUGUCAUAUUUUUUGAACAGCUAGAGUGGGACUUCUAUUUAAAAUAUGAAUGCUCCAAUUGACUACUUCAGGCUAGAAACUUUUUGGAAUUCCACUUCCCCUCAAGAGACUUCGCACCAUAUUCAGAAUGGUACGAUUCUUCCUCUCACAUACGCCAUUUUGCCGUGGUGUAUAGGCUGCUGUAAGUUGUCUCUUGAUCCCAUGCUUCAUACAAAAAUCUGUAAACUCAAGCGAGUUGUACUCUCCACCACGAUCCGUGCGAAGGACUUUUAUUUGAUUUCCUCCAUCCUUUUCAACAAGUGCUUUGAAGUUCUUGAAAGCCGCAAAAGCUUCAUAUUUUUCUUGCAAAAAAUACACCUAAAUUUUCCGGCUAAAAUCAUUGAUGAAGGUAAUGAUAUACCGUUUACCUCCAUUGGAAAUUGGAGAUAUUGGUCCGCAAAUAUUUGAAUGAACUAACGCCAACGGACUUUUUGCUCUCCACGAUUUUCUUUGUGGAAAUUGAGCACGAUGUUGCUUGCUAACAACACAAUCUUCACAAAUUUCCAAAGGAGCAUAGAUUUGAGGAAGACCCUCCACCAUCUCUUUUUUAGGGGGAAGUACACUAAUGGUGUCAUAAGUUGUGUACGGCGCUCACUUUGGUGCCAAAAGUUUCCGUCGGAUCACUUAAGUGCCAAAAAAUUUGAAAAACGCUCACUUCGGUGCCAACUCCGACGAAAUUGGUCGGAAAUCCGACGUGGCCUUUUUUUAUUAAUUUUUGACGCCGACGUGGCUCGUCGGAGAGCUGAGUCAGCAUCCAAACACCAAAACGACGCCGUUUGGUGUCUCCCCCAAUUCAAAACCCUAAUCUCCGGCCGUCGCCGUCCUCGACGGUCCUCGCGCUCAGCGGCCACGGCUUCGGCCCCGACCUCGACCCUAACCGCGACGAUGGCCACUCAACGGCAGCAGCUCCGACCUCGACCCCGACCCCGACCCCGACGAUGGCCACUCGGCGGCCGUAGCUCCGACCUCGACCUCGACCCCGACCGCGACAAUGGCCACUCGAUGGCCGCGGCUCAAACCCCGACCCCGACCCCGACGAUGGCCACUCGACGGUCGUAGCUUCGACCCCGACCUCGACCCCGACCUCGAUGAUGGCCACUCGGCGGCCGCAGCUUCAACUCCGACGACGGCCACGGCUUCAACCUCGCCGAAACCCUAAUUUCUUCCCCAUGUGAGCUAAAGNNNNNNNNNNNNNNNNNNNNNNNNNNNNNNNNNNNNNNNNNNNNNNNNNNNNNNNNNNNNNNNNNNNNNNNNNNNNNNNNNNNNNNNNNNNNNNNNNNNNCUUAUCAAUUUUUUUUUUUUUUUAAAAAAAUCAUUUUGGCCGGAAUCUUUCGCCGGAGGCCAGAAUCUUUCGCCGGUGGCACCAAAGUAAGCGUUUUUCCUCCGAUUUGGCACUUAAGUGAUCCGACAGAAACUUUUGGCACCAAAGUGAGCGCCGUACACAACUUUUGGCACCAUUAGUGUACUUAUCCCUCUUUUUUAUAUAGUGUUCGCAACCCACCGAAAUUAAGAUGCCCAUAGCGAAAAUGCCAUAACCAGGCUUACUCCUUCAAUCUUGUAGAGAAACAUGAAUUUGUAGUGUUGUGGAGAUACAAUGGAAACAUCCGAUUGCCCGUCAUUUUGACUUCAGCAAUUAAACCCAACUUCUCAUCUUGGAUUCUACAAAUCCCACCUUUAAUAGAGAUUUCAUAUCCCUUCUCUUGCAGCUGACCAGCACUUAACAGAUUAGUCUUCAAUUCAGGGACAUACAAUACAUUUGAGAUAGUUUGUACCGAAGUCCCUUUUGGAUGAAUUGCCACUGUUCCUUUCCCCAUCACCGACACAAUGGAAUCAUCACCAAACUUUACGGUGUUGUUGUACGUUUCGUCUAAAUCAAAAAACAUUUUCUUGUCUCCACACAUGUGAUUGCUACAACCAGUGUCGAGAUACCACAUGUUUGGUUGAGUUUCUUCCUUCUCAUGGCACACCAUCAAAAGAGAUACUUCUUCUUCUUUUUUAGCAAAGUUAGUUCUUUCAACUCUUUGUUUAUUCAAAUUAGUUCGACAUUCAGAUUUGUAAUGCCCAUACCUGUGGCAUCUAAAACACUCCACUUUGGAUUUGUCUGCUGACCUUGGCCUAAAAUCAGUUGAAUGUCGUCCUCCACGACCUCUUCCUCUCCCUUGGAAAUCACGAUAGGAAUAGCUUUCAGACUUUUGAUCAAAGCUGAAGCCACUGCGAUCGUUGUUCUCCCUUCCUCAGCCUCUUCCUUUGUUCACCCUUGUUGCUGAUGAAGAAUGAUCUCCAGUUGAGACCUUCAAAGCUUGCUCUUCCGUCUCUUGUUGUAGGAGUUUUUGUUCAUGAACUAACAAGGAUCCUUGCAACUCAUCAAUGGAAAGUUCUUCAAUGUCCUUGGCUUCUUCUAUGGAACAAACAAUAAAGUUGAACUUUGGUGUCAACGAUCGAAGAAUCUUUUCAACGAUGAUGACAUCCUCCGUCUUGUCGUCAUGAAUCCGCAUCUUAUUAACUAUUGCCAUUGUCCGAGAGAAGAAAUCUGUGAUUGUCUCUCCCGACUUCAUUCGUAGCAUUUCAAACUCCGAACGAAGCGUUUGAAGCUACUGCCUCUUUGCUCUUGCUGAGCCUUGAUACUUUUUCUUCAUGGAAUCCCAUAUUUCCUUGGAGGUAUCCUUGCAAAGAAUUGUCUCCAAAAUAGAUCUGUCAAUUGCUUGGAAAAGAUAAUUUUUGGCCUUGAGAUCCUUCAAUUUUAACGCAUCCAAAGCUGUUCUUUGCGCUGCCGUUAACACAACUCCUUCAUCAGGUUCGGCAACUCCCGAAGAAACAACAUCCCAAUACUCCUUGGACUUGAGAAAAUUCUCCAUUAGCAUGCUCCAAUGAUCAUAAUGACCAUCAAAGUGUGGAAUAGCAGGUUGUACAAAUGUUUCUGAGGCCAUUACUGCUGCUGCAAAAUAGAACCACCACAAAAGCAACCUGCUGCUGCUACAAACAAAAAUAACCUGCUGCAAUACUCUCCCUUGACUGCUGCAAACGAAAGCACUCGCUGCAAUAAAAAACUUUCUUUUGGUUCUCACAUUUUUACAGCACUCAAACACACACUUUUCUUCCUAACCUCCGCUCUGAUACCAAUGUUAAAAACCAGAGGAGAUGCAGAUGUGCAGAUAUGCACAAGAGCAACGCUAAAACAGAGGAGAACAGAGGAGAUAUCACAAAAACAGAGGAACAGUCUAUUUUACACCCACACAUACAUAUAAAAAACUGACGCCUUAGCCUUUAUACAGGCUUUACAAAAACAAGUAACCACCAUAGCCCACUAACUUCACACGUACAACAACCAAUCCACAUAAUAGACUAUUAACACAUAAAAACAAACCAGAAACAUUGACUUAUUCAACACAAGAUAUAACAAAGUCUUGAUGAUAAUACUAUAUAGAAAUUCUAAUAUUUUUCUAGGAUCUCUCAAAAAGAAAUAAUUGAAAACUAUGGUCGUAUAUUUUUUUUGAAAGAAAACAAAACUAGAAGUUGAAAGUAUUGAAUCGUCUAUAUAUAUUUAACGCAUACAACUUUCAAAUAAUAUUAAGAAGUUAUCUCUGAAGAGACACAAUCUUCUAAAGAUUCAGGAGUUAUGUCCGAAUAGACACAACAUUCCAAAGGUUGUAAGAGCGCCUAAUAACUAUUAGACAAAUAUAAAUAAUAAUAAAAUAACCAUAACUCCUUGUACUAUUUCAAUAGGACACAAUGUUAUUUUACAAUUAUAAAUUCGAAUUUAAUUGAAUAAAAAAAUAAUGAAAGUUAAUUAAUGUCAAAUCUUUUUCAUGUGUGCACUCACAUCUUUUUGAUAUGGGACAAGGUAUCCCAUAAUUUGUUUUAACUACCAACCAGAAAACAUAUAAGUUCAGUUGAGACCUGUUGAGGGGCAUUACAGCCAGGAGGCACUCGGAAAUCAUCGCUAUCCAGAGGCAUGUCCGCACUUUCGUCCGCAGCUUUCUCCACUUUACGGACGAAAGUGCUGGUCUUCCCUCCGUUGCACAAAUCAGCCCCAUCCAAAACCAAAACAAAAACAAGAACAGCUCCAACCACAGCAACUGAACAACAAGAAGAAGAUCCCAUAACAACCAUCUUGGUCUUUUUCUGGGAUAAGGAAGAGCCUACGUGACAGACCCCCCACGAAUUCUCACAUCAAUCGCACUACCCCUUAUAUAGGUGAAUGUAAUACAGAGGAACACGCCCUUCGGGAUAUAAAAUUGCAUAAAACACGGGGAAUAUCCACGGGAAUGUCAACUCUUUUGAGCGCUUCAGUUGAAAAGAGGCUUAGCUUUUUUUUAAGGGAAUAGCAAAUGAUUCGGUCUACUUAUUUCCUUCCCUUCUUGAUGCGGAUGAUCUUGAAUAUGCAGUUCACGAUAAGACAAUGGGGGAUUUCCUUAUGAUAACGGCGAAAGAGCACAUUCAUUUGACUCUUCCUCUGACAACGACUGCAGUUUCAUUCGCGUGCAACUGGUUUGACCAACGAUGGAUGCAGCACGGCCGCUGCCAAGUUCUGGAAAGAAGUAGAAUAUUGAUAAAUGAUUUUGAAACUCGAAGAGUGGCGACGUUAUUUGGGGGUGACGUUAAGGAAUGUGGGAUUAGGACUUUGUCCGAAGGAGAAUGAUUUGGGUCAGUGAUCAUAGCUUUGAUGUGACAUAACUGCUUUAGUUGACAAUAACACAAAGCAUAUCCUUUCCGAAAGGAAAUUGCUCCAAAAGUCCGAAGGCUCAUGUAUCUUCUUACAUCACGAGGAACUUACGACAUGGUGCUUGAUCAGAUAAAACUUCUUAUUAAGCCAAGGGGCAAAAUGUUUGUCUUACAUGCAUUCAUUGCACCAUGUCCAUGUUCUUGUUCUCUACUCAGACAAGUAGCUCAUACGCUCCUCAAUUCAUAUUUAAAUGACAAGGUGAAGAUUAUAUGAUAUGUUUAAAAUCUUCCUUAUUUAUGUUCUUAUUUGUGCUUUCAUUUUUUAUUAUUAUUGAAUCUUGUUAUUUUACACAUCGAAAUGUUUUGUGUACUCAUCUUCUUAUUCAAUAUAUGUAUUAUGUAACAACUUUUUUUUUUUUGGUAAGGUAAGUAUUAUAAUGAUUAUAACCAACAAAUGUACAAAAAUGACAAGACACCAAAAGCUUACACUCAUAGAGACCAACAUGUUAGUACAAGUGGAAGGGUGCCCAAAAAAGGAGAAAAAACCUCCUCAAAGCUUACAGCAAAGAAAGCGGCAGCAAGGCAAACCGCAGAGACAAGGAAAGAGACAACAGCCCCGAGGGCUAGCAACAAGCCACUACAAGUGACAAGCAAAAACGACAACCAAAGACCAAACGGCCUUUGUUGUAACCUUAGAAACCUCCUAGGAACGAGCAGAAAAAACCUCCUACUCUCAGAGAAUAAAGAACAGCAAAGUCACUCAAAGAUUGAAGGGAGAUAAAGAGAUUGGUUGCGCAAGAUAAUGUUAUUCGUUUCUUUCUAGAUGAUAUAACAAACGGCCCCAAAGGAAAAACGAGCCAAGAUAAUUCUUCAAUGUUGGAAGAUAAAGAGAUUGGUUGCGCAAGAUAAUGUUAUUCGUUUCUUUCUAGAUGAUAUAACAAACGGCCCCAAAGGAAAAACGAGCCAAGGAUUCAUGGCCCACUCAAGGUUUUCCAACCACAGUUUGUUUUGCCAAGCAAGGUUGCAUUUAGCCACCCAAUAACAAGCAAGGCUUCUAGUAAUUUGGCAAGCAAAAAACAAGUGGUUAAUGGAAUCCGGUCGAAGAGAGCAAAAUGCACACACCGCAUGCUGGAUUCCGCCAUACACUAAUAAAGAGACUUGGGUAGGCAGGUGGUUCCAAGUAAUAAGCCACAUAAGAGUUUGAUAACGAGGGGGCAAGGAUGAGCUCCAAAUAAAAGAAGACCAAGGCACCACCCGACCCUUUGGACGGAUCAAAUUCCAGGCCGACGCAGUAGAGAACUUGCCAAAGGGAUGGCCCAAAUUUUUAUGCUUUAAAAAAUUCGAAUGGAUCCACUUACACCACAACGACUCUUUAUCCGUAAAGAAGUUCCAUAAAUGUUUGAGCAUGGAAGUCAUAUUUCUUUCUCAUAAGGUUCGAAUCUCAAUCCCAAUCCCACCUUCAUUAUGUAACAACUUUAGGUGCUAUUGUUUUCUUUAAAUUGGGGGAUAAAGCUACGUGAUGGAAUUUGAAUCCACUUCGAAUAAAAGCUCCACGUAAACUCUAGUUGAUAAUUUGAUUAGUGUGAUCUUUCUACAUAUAUAUUUGGGUGAUAAAAUGUCAGUACCAUCAUCUAGAGUAAUAUAAUAAAUAUAACAUCAGUUAGGACAAGAGGCUGGCCUAACGUGCGAAAGUGAGAAAGCGCAACGCUAAGAAUCCAAUUAACAAUAAAAGACCAUCUAGCACCUGUUCAAUUCGAAUCCAGUAGGAGCAGGGAUAUGCCCAAGGGACCAUUUUUCUUUUAGUAAGGUCAAAAGCCACCAACAGAAACUCGCCCAAGAUAUAUUCAUCACUAGGAGUGAGCAUAGUCUGAAUGUGUGAUUCCCACCUUAGAACUGAAACUACUCACUAAGUACCAAUUUUGGAAAAUUGGAACCAGGGACUAUCCAUUGGUUCCAAGGAUUCAUCCGAGAAUCAGACAAUUAGUCCGGUCUAGUUCCCAGGUUGAUCCAAUGAACUAGUCCCCAAUCCCAACGAAAUUGUAUUCAUCAAUUAAUGUCAUGGUAAGUAUGAUUUUUAUGUAGAGCACCAAAGCUUGUUUGGCCUUAAAUUCGGGUCAGGCUAUUGAUUUUAAUUAAGGAUUGAAAAUUAUAAGAUGGAAUGAAUAGACAAUGCUCAUUAGCUAGGGAUUUAAUAUCUUCGAAAGUCAUGGGGGUUCUUAGGGUUUCCCGACAUUGGGAACAUGUGAAGAAUUAAACUCUACGUUAAAAUCCUAACCUAUAGAAGUUAAAACAAUAAUCACUUGAUCCUUCUUUUUUCAACGUCAACCGAAAUUAAUCACGGCAAUGGUUAAAGAAAGACUUAAUUUUGCUCUUAAAACAAGCAAUUGGCUCUUAAUUUUGUAUCAUGAUGACAAAGCUUAUGGACAUCUCCAAUGGACAUCUUCAGUCAAUCCUCUCAUUCCUCUUCAUUUGUUUAUUUUGUUUGGGUUGAGGAAGCAAGUAAAUUGAUUAUUAGAAUGAACAAAAAAUAGGGAGUUUAAUCUUAUUACACAUUCGAGAGACAAAAUUAAUCGAUAAUGUCAAUAACUACAAAAAAUACACAUGUACAUAUAUAUUGGUCGAAAAAUUACAAAAGAAUUAAGUAAUUGAGCUAUAAUUUUUAAAAAUAUAUAUAUACUAAUCCAGUCUGAGUGGGCACGCGGGUGGCUCCGUGCCUAGAAUUGGGAACUAGCAAUUUUAAUAAAUUAGAACUGGAAACUAGACUAGUCCCCAUGGUAGCCGUCGGUUUUGGGCCUGUCUUAUCCUAUUCCAAGCGAUUCUCGAUUCCUUUGUAAACCUCUAUUCAUCACCGUUCUCAUGUCGAUCGAUAUCAAAUCAUGUGAAUCUUGUUGACCCAGUCCACUACUAGCUGUUCUAAUUCGCAUGAGAAUCAAAAGUUAUUUUCAACUCGUACCAUAAUUAGAGCACAAUUAGAAUGUUUGAAUGAUAAGUAAUUUAAGAUUGGUUCAAACGUUAUUUCUAACUUGUACUAGAAUUGGAGCGAAAUUAGAAUAUCCGCAUGAUAAGCAAUUCAAGAUUGAUUUAAACGUUAUCUCUACUAGUGGUACCAUUUCUGUUGUUAAUAUUUAUUACUUGAGAUUCUUCUUGAGUGCGUGUGCAUUUAUACUCAUCACUUAUUGUAAUAGACACAAUUUAGAAAUCAAAAUAUACAAUUCUUCUUUGUUCCCUUGUUUUCUUCAUCCCUAUUUUUCUCUUGGUAUUAGAGCAUGAAAAGGGAAAGCCCAUCGACCCAAAUAAGAGUAACUCGAAUUCCUUCUCUUCCAAACAAACUACCGAUCAACAACACUAGCCUCUCACUACAGAUACCACCACAUCGACAACUCCUACAGCUACAUCUUAGGUUUGUUCCACCUCAUCAACUUGUAGGGACAUUGACCUAGUCUUUGUUAGCUGUUCAGCUCGCACCAGAAUCAUAGCACAAUUAGAAUAUCCGCAUCAUAAAUAAGCCGAGAUUGAUUCAAAUAUUAUCUUCACCAAUGUUAGUAUGUUACCAUUUCUAUUGUCAAUAUUUGUUACUUGAAAUUCUUUCUAAGUAUAUAUAAGUCAUCAUUCAUUGUAAUAGAGACACAAUUCAUAAAUCAAAAUAUAAAAUUUUCCUCCAUUCUCCAUGCAUCCCUAUUUUUACCUACACUUUUGACACAACAUCUUUAAUAAAAAAGUACUAUUUAUACUUGUGGGACGAUGUUAGCGUCCAUAAAUUUCCUAUGAAAUUUUGCGAUUCUACAUGGGAGGCUGAUGUGGAUGAUAAUUUGCAACAUUCAUAAACUGCGGUGGUUAAGAUGAUUUAUUUGUUAAUUUUAUAUCAUUGACAUCAUGACAAUCAUUAGUGUGUGAUGCUUGUGUCCUUAUUUCUCCAAGAAAGAAAGAGGGUGCGAGAAAAAUGAUUCCGGUCGGGAACACAAACUUUCAAAAUGUCAAAAAAUAAUGUGGAAAAGGAAGAUCCACUAGAUUCUGUACAAUCAUGAUGCACUUCGAAUUGUUCACUAAUUUAUUCAAUUUAACUUCACUAAUUUAUUCAAUUUUACUUUAUCGUUUCCAUUCUCUAUUGAGAAAGUAUGCAAAACAGUAGUAACUCCUCGCUCUUGUCCUAACAAUAGAAACCAAACGCAGAGGACGUUAUGAUUGCUUGUUAGGUGUCUUAGAAAGAGAUUAAUCCAUGAUAAUUCUGAAUCCAUGAGAGAAUUGGCCAAACUAAUAAAGAAGAGAUCUUGAAUUCCUCCUCUGAUUACGCUUGAGCCCAUUUUUGCGCAUAAAUAGACACCCUGAAUGGUCCGAUUGAUACGAGACUAACACAAGCCAUAAGCCAAUAUUAAGCUAAGUAUCAAGUGUCCUAUAUGCAAUAUCGUUGCGAUCACUACCCUUUUUGCAUGACUAGAAAAGACAAUUAUCCAAUUCAUAUAUGCACAAAAAAACACUCCACAUGCCUACUUUGUUUUAUUCCAUACAAUAAUAUUAUCUAGUAAUAAAAUUCACUUGAUAUGAUCAAUUAAUUAAAUUUUCGAUAAGACAAUGGUAUGCGCCGAUCAAAAUCCUCACGACACAAUAAAGUAAAGAUCGAGCACUCGCUGAUAGACUCCGGACGAGGACUUGCACCAAACGAAUGAAGUGGAAUUGUCAUUGACGAUCGUGUGAAUGCCUUGAGAGUCGACUGACCCAUAACUCUCCAAGCCAUCAUCGGCGCUCGUAGUAGUCCCCGUCGGUUCUACUUUUUGCGAAAAAUAAAUAAUUUAAAAAAUAUUUUUCUCCAUUUGAUAUCUUCAAUUUUAGUUUUCUUAAUCUGAGGUUCUCAAUUUGAUCUGAAAGUAUACACUCCUGCUCAGGACUACCUCACGUCUUUUUCGUUCAGUGAAUCAUCGGAUAUCUAUUUACAUGGCCCGUUCAUUCAAAGGAAUUUACCCUAAGAAUUAUGGCAUGUUAAAUUAAAAAAAUUUAUUAUGAUUGUGACCUGAAAAGUUUGUCCUCCCCAUGUAUCUUUUCAGAUAUGACAAAAACUCAUGAACGCAACAUGUUUUACCGAAAUUUCUUGUAAUUGUAUUGAGAAAUCAAAAUUAUAAUUCAUCCGCAAAAGUUUUACGGUCAUGUUCAUUAGGAACUUCAGCAAACAAGAAUAUGCAGUCUACCGAAAUUCAAGAAUGAAUCUUUUAUACCAAAAAAAAAAAAAAUUCAGCUACAAAAACAUAGUGCAAUAAACUUGAACAAGCCUAAAUGCAGAACUUUCAAUUGCUUGGAAAUGCAUCGAGGAAAUCCGAAGAGAAAACUUGUCCUGUCCGAUGAUGGCCAUCAAAUGCUUGUGGAAUCAUUAGCCGGAUGCCAGAAUCUAUUGAAGAACCACAUUGAAUCGGCUUCCACUGCAUAUCCAUCUUGAUUUCUGUGCCAAUUAUAAUAUGCGUGUGUUCGGUUCUUGAUAUCAAAAAUCGCAUGCCCAAAGCUGGCUUCACGGUAGGCCGAGUAAUUUGGCUGGGGUUCGGUCAUGCUGCAUAACAAAAACAGAUAUUUACACGAUCCAACGGCUACCCAGAAAAGUCAUGAAUCAGUUAGUAUUUUGUGAGGUAAUUCGUCUUACUUGGUGGCCAAACCUUCAAGAUUGCCUCCAUCACCAAUUGUUAUGUACACUGGAGCUGAUAGAUCAUGAACAGGGACGCACAAGCCGUUCACAAUGUUGUAUUCAACGUUGGAUACACGUUCCUGUGACAUUCAUCAAUCAGCCAGGGAGUUCUUAUGUUCAAACUAGACAAACAAACAAACAAACAGAAUUUCUAAUUUCCUGCUCAUCCCCACAACAAUUCGUACAUGGAAAAUAUAAAUUGUGUAUUUUAUUUUGUUGGACAGAAAUCUCUAUCGCUGUCAGCGUGUUAAUUUUGUCUCCUCAGAAAACAUUGAAGUUGAUAGUUUGAUUGGACUAACUAAUCAGAGUUGACUUUAUGCAUCUUCGUAUGGCAAGGCUAUAACCAUAAUAGAGCUGAUAGUUUAGAUAAUAAGGAAAAGGAAACAGUUCGACUUACAGAUCGUUCAUAGGCAUGGACGUGACCUGACAACACCACAUCUACUUUGUAUUUUACAAACCAGGGUUCGAACAUCACUCUCAUGGUUUCUCCUUCCAUGUAGUGAUAGUUGUUGCUAUUGUACAACGGAGAGUGCAACAUAACAAUCAGCCAUGGUGUCUCGGACCUGUUAACUUUCGGUAGCUCUUCUUCAAGCCAUUUGUACUGGGGAGUAUAUUUACCUUAGAAGCGAACAGAGGCAAAAGGAAAUAAGCAGAAGUGAGCCGCGACAUUCAAUAAGUAUUGGCAUUCUGAGAUGCAUGCCUCUAUUGUUCUUCUUGGUAUAACCGUAUCAUAAUUACUUCAUAUCAAAAUGAUGUUACGGCGUAACAGACUUUCAUUUCCAUGACUAAAUAUUUGAGUUCAUUGAUGAAUGUAUGCUCCCACUUCUAUGUGCAGUCUAUUCUUGAAAGAAUGGAUCCGCUUUCAUCCGUAGAUAUCAGAAUAAUAUUGCAUAUUGAUUCUUCAUCUAUUUGACCUUGCAGAUAAAUGAAUGUUGUUAUUGUGUCCAGUAAAUUAUCUCAUAAACAUGAGAGGUUCCGAAGAGUAGCAUCUCAUUCUCAUCUAUGUUGACAGGAUAGUCAAGGAUGUAAGAUCAUACCGUAUGCAGAGUAUGAUGAUAAGACUAUGACGUAAGCCGAAGCUCUCUUGAUCGAGUACCAAAAAGGUGCAGUGCUGUUUGAUGCUCUAUAAGGAACGUGGUAUCUGUUCGUAAAAGGCUUGAAGGGUUUAUUUUCUCCCUGCAGAAAAAAAUAGAACGAACCACAUCAUCAGUCGUCUCCUUUAUAUGAACUCAUACAUUCUGAAACUUCCAUGAUAAGAAGAUGAUGGUCUAGGUAAUGAAUGGGAAGUGGUGGUGAUAGAAUCAAAGGGUGAGGACUUCGUCCCCUGCAUAUUUCCCGUAACAUCCUAACAACUGAUAUUGGAAAGAGUCCUAUGUUUUAUCGAAACUAGACUGCCUGACGGUCUAAGUUCUAUCAUCGUCUUGCCUUACAUAAACCACAAGAAUUGAAUUUUUUACUUCCUUCAGUUGCCCAACUUGCCAAUGAAGAGAAAUAAUGCAAUGUGAUGACAUGGAACUUCGAUAGGAGUUCUUAGCUACCAAAAGCAGCGAAGGAUUGUUUGAUCUAACAACCAGUAUCAAAGCAAAUUACCAAUUGAUCGGUUAGUAGAGAAUUUAUGCUGUAAUGAAUCAUCGCAGAAAUGAAGGGAUUAAGGCUUGGUGACUCUGAAUGUGAAAUAGACAUGUCCUGGGAGAAGUACAAUGCUAGCACUCACAAUUUCGGGAGCAAAGUCGAGUUCGUGAUUUCCUGUUGUCCAUAUCCAGGGUUGAUAAGCUACACUUCUUUCGACAAACCUUGCCCAUGCAUCCCACCUCGUGUUGUCGUGGUUGGGAUAAUUAUCAGCGUACGACAAGUCUCCAACAAACAAUACAGCCUGUCCUUUCUGGGGAUUAUUUUCGUAAUGGAUGAGUGUUCGGUUUGAAUCAUAACUCUGACCAAGAUCACCUGCAAUGCAAUGUUCAUCGGUAUGCUAAGCAUAGAAAGGAGUCGGACCCCAGAUGCAUGUAAAAUAACUGCACAACUUAAUUUGCUGCGACUUGCUAAUGAACUUGAUUAUCAAAACCAAAUUAUUCUGCAAAUUUUAUGGUCUAUAGACAGGAAGGGGCUUUGAAGUUUCCCUGAGUUAAUGACUACGCAUGCAUGAACACACGAUUUAAUUACCUAUGAGACCAAAAGUGUAUGGAACAUCAGGGCCAACCUCCGGAGGAGUCAUGAACCAGAACUGUCGGACUGUAUGUCCAAUUCCAACCUCAUAAUAGUAUUUGGUGUCGUACUGCCAGCAGACGAAACAAACAUCAGCGACGUUUACCGAAUUUUACACGCCAAGCACCAAAAAGUUAAUAUUUCAGGAGGAAUUGAAAGAUUUACCAUCAAAUUGUUGAGGGUGCAAUGGUGGAUGUAACCAGAAGUGUAAUUGUAGUACUUGUAACGAUUAACUUUGCCCUUUUUAGUUUUCUUGUGCUCACUGUUUUCACUCCAGUAGCGCACUACACUGGACCCAGGUUCAUCAGGAGUCACCCAUGACACGAUCACCCCUUUUCCCUCAUGAUCUCCUUGUGUUAUGUGUACCUAUAGACUCGCGCACCAACAAACCAAAUCAGAAACCACAAAGAAAAGAACAAAAUCAACAACAGUAACCUCUAACAUUAAUCACAUCAUAUUCGAAACCGAAUUAGCCGAUUCAAGCUGGUCCUAGCGUGUCUCAACAUGUUGAUGUCAACCUCUUCACUAGUCAAAAAAGGGUUUUAAAGCCAAAAGGAACAGAAAGAAAAGCUUGCGCUAUACUUAGGCAAGAGCGGGAACACAAGCUAAGUUGAGACCUGUUGGGGUGCAUUAUAGCCAGGAGGCACUCGGAAAACAUCGCUAUCAAUUGGCAUGUCCACAGCUUUCUCCUCUUUGCGCACGAAGGUGCUGGUCUUCCCUCCAUUGCACACGUCAGCCCCAUUUAAAACCAGGACGAGCACAAGAACAGCCCCAACAACAGCUACCGAACAAGAAGAAGAAGAUCCCAGAACAGCCAUCUCGGUCUUAUUCUGGGAUACGAAGAGCACAAGAGCCUAAGCGCCACACUCCCCACGAAAUCUCACGUCAAUCGCACUACCCCUUUUAUAGGUGAAUGUAGUACCGAGAAACGCGCCCCAUCAAAAUAGAAAGGAGGAGGGAUUUUGCAUAGAACUCGGGGAAUAUCCACGGCACUAUGCGCAUAUACACUAUACAGGGUAAAUGUUCAACUCUUCCGAACGCUAAAAUUAGAAUGUCGCAGCUCCUCACAUAUGAAAAGAGGCUUAGCUUUUUUCGAGGGAAUACUGAAAUAUCUGUCUAUUUCUUUCUUUCCCUACUUGAUGAGGAUGCUCCUAGGUAUGCAGUUGACGUUGAAACCAUGGGGAGAUUUCGUAACAAUAACGACAGAAAAAGCGCAUCAUUUGCCUCUUCUUCGGACAAGGAGAAGGAAGGCCAUAAUGUUCUCGGACAAUUGGGUGUCGCCACUACCAGUUUCUUUCGCGUGCAACUGGCUUGGACCAUCGAUAGAUGAGGCAAAGAAUUGGCCGCCGCCAAGUUCUGUAAAGAAAUUGUAGGAAAGAAGUCGGCAGAAGACGACUUACCUCUUUCUGAUGCGCAAACAACAAUUUAUCCCGGAACAAACGUUGAAUUGCAGAUGAAUACAAACAAAAAUACUUCAUGUUGGUCUGAAUGUAAUCACGAGGAAAACAUCUUAUUUCCAUAGCGUAAAUGCCAAUUGCUCUUAUAAAGAAGAAAUGGAACGCCUUCUUUUCCUUUUGAUGGAAAUAGGACAAGAAAAUGAGAACUUUUUGUAUGUUCUGCCUGUUAAAGCAUAUAAGUCAAAAUUGAAGAUAAAUGUCGCUGGUCAAGAGCUAAGCUCGGGUGGAAACUGUGAAAAUGAAGUAAAGGAAUUCAAGUUGAAGCCAAAGUUAGAUAUUGACAUUCGGGAGUUAAGUUCUGGUGCAAACAGGGGAAGUAAAGCGAGGCAGACCGCUGAUUUGGGAAAUGCAGUAACAAAUGUUGGUGCUAAUGAUUCAAUCAAGGCUGGAAACGACAAAUUCAACUCUACUUGUGAGGAUAAAGAAAAGCAGAACAAAGAAAGCAUGAUUUACAUCAACAACACGUGCUCAUUAAAUAACAGAUAUUCAGUUUUAAGUCAAAACUGAAUACCUUCCUUGUUCUGUUAUUUUCCCUUGUUCUGUUUUUGACUUCUGUUAAUUCAGUUGAACAAGUUUGUUGUUCGCUCACAUAUAAAUACUGAAUUGUACGAAGAACUGAUAGAAAAUACACUUUGUAAAUUCCUCUCUCUCUCUCUCUCUCUCUCUCUCUCUCUCUCUGUGAAAGACUGAAAACAGAAGCUCAAGAGCAUUUGUUCGAUUCAUCAUCAUUGUCAACUCGUUUCUUCAUCUUCUCUGUUUUUCUUUCCUGUUCUUGGCUUCUUCACACUGCCAACCCUUUUAACAGUUGUCUUUAGGUGACUCACACCAUUUUAAAUGGUGUCUUUCUAUUGUAGCAUAUCAAGACGAAACAUUUUCAUCUAACCCCAUCAUGGAUGUGCUAAUUAUGUACAACAGAAAUAAAGAACAGCGAGAAAUGACUGAAAUUCGAAAAAGUGACGACGUGAUUUGGUGGUGACAUUAUGGAAUACGGGAUUAGGACAUGUUUCUCAAUCAGUUAAAACCUCUCGUUAUGCCAACGGGACAAAUGUUUGCUUUACAUGCAUUAACUGCAGCAUGUGUCUAUGUUCUAUUUCUCUACUCAGACAAGUAGCUUACGAGCUCCUCAAUUUUUAUUUAAUGACAAGGUGAAGACUAUUUCGACCAAAAAAAAGACAAGGUGAAGACUAUAUGAUAUUAUUAAAAAUUCCCUAUAUUAGUUCCUAUGUGUGCUUUCAUGUUUCUUAUCAAAUCCUAUUAUUUUAUGCGCUUGAAAUGUUGUACAUACUCAUCUUAUCAUCCAAUAUAUAUCGCAAUUUUAAGUACUAUUGUUCGUUUAUUUAGUCAGAAGAUGAACUUAUGUAAUAAAUUUUAAAUCCACUUUAAAUAAAAAGUCACGUAAACUUUAGCAGAUAAAUUCCUUACCCAAAAAUUUUUUCCUUAACCAAAAACUUUAGCAGAUAAAUUGUUUAAUGUGAAUUUUAUAUUUCAGUAAAAAAUUUUGUGAAUAAAUGUCAAUACCAUCAUCUAGGGUAAUAUAAUAAAUACGAUAAUAGUUUCUACUUGGACAAGAGGCCUGCCAAAUGUCGGGAAGGGAGACGAGCGACACGAUGGAGAAGCGCCUGUCCCAUUCCAAUCCAGUCGGUGCACGGGAUAUCCGCCCGACGGACCAAUUUUCUUUUAUUAAAGUAAAGGCACCAACGGAAGCUCCCCUCAACAUAUUGUCACCACCAUUUUCUUGUCAAUCAGUAUCAAAUCAUGUGAACCCACCUUUUAAAUCCCCACUCAGCUAUAAUUACCAAAUGCAAACCACGACAAUUUCUCAUCCGUGACCAUUGUAACCCGGCCCUUAAAAUGUUUUAAAGUGGCAUAACCUUUUAUACUUAAGACAGGUCUAACACGACCUUUUAAACGUUUUAGAAAAAUGCAAAACUUUAUAUUUGUGGAAUGAUUUUGGAAACCGUUAAAUCUUCUGUUAGAAUUCGCCAUCUGCAGUCCUACGUGGAGGGCGACGGGGAUGACAAUUUGUGACAUGUAAUCGUGCCGUGUCAUAACUUGUGAUUGAUUAAAAUAAUUAAAUUACUAAUUUAUUCAAUGCUGAGUAUGACGAUAAGACAAUGAUAUAUGCCGAAGCUCUCUUUAUCAAGUACCAAAAGGCGCGGUGCUGUUUGAUGCUCUAUAAGGGACGUGGUAUCUGAGCGUAAAGGGCUUGAAGGGUUUAUUUUUGCCCUGCAGAAGAAAAGAAUGUACAAACUUUCAAAAUGUCGAAUAAUGAAGAAAAGGAAGAUCCACUGCAUUCUGUAUAAUGAUGAUGCACUUCGAACUAGUCACUAAUUUUCAAUCUAACUUAAUCACAUUGAUAUAUUGCUUCCACUCUCUAUUAAGAAAGUAUGCACGACAACAGUAACUCCUCAGUCCUAACGGUAUAAACCAACCCCAGAGGAAGUUAUGAUUGCUUGUUAGGUAUCUUAGAAAGAGAUUAUUCCAUGAUGAUUCAGAAUCGAUGAGCAAACAAAUCAAGAAGAGAUUUCCAAUUCCACUGAUUACGCUUGAGCCCAUUUUUGCUCAUAAACAGACAUCCCAAAUAAUCACAUUGAUGCAAGAUGAACACACAAGUCAUACACCAGUACCAAGCUAAGUAUCGAGUUACAAAUACGCAAGAACGUCGCGAUCACUACCCUUUUUGCAUGACUAGAAAAGACAAUAGUCCAUUACAUAUCUACACCUAAAAUACUCGACAUGCUUCUUUUGUUUUAUAUAAUAAAUUAUCUUAUUUAGUGAUAAAAAUUCACGUGACACGAACAAUCGUUUAAAUUUUAUGCAUAUUGACGGAAAUCUUCACAAGACAAAAAAAACCAAGCACUCGCUGGUAGACUCUGGACGAGGACUUAUGAUCAUCCACGACCAGCCACGAGGAGUCUUGUUACCGAAUGAAUGGAGUAGAGUUGUCAAUGACAAUCGUGUGAGUGCCUUGAGAGUUGACCGACCGAAAACUCUCCAAGCCGUCAUCAGUGCUCGGAGUAGUCCCCAACUUUCCACUCGGGUCCGCCGUCGAUUGAAAACUGAUUAAAUUGCUGCGGCGGUAUUAUCACAUACGCAGGUUCGUGCAAUAUUCGGCCGACAGUUAAGAAGGCAGACUCUAACGCUGCCUAAAGCAUGGAGGCAACGGCAUUCCUUAAUGCUCCGUUCGUUUCGUGGAAAACAACUUUCAAAAAAAUAUUUUCCGAAAUUUCCGGUGUUCGGGUGGGUAGAAAAUACACGGUCAAAGAAAACAAUUUCCGGUCAACGGAAAAUCCCCUCUUGACAUUGUGGAAAAUGAUUUCCUCUAAUGAUUUCCUCUUUUGAAAAGAGGAAAUCAUUUUCCUGGCCUCUUGCGCUAUCUCUCACGCUGCUUUUUCCUUCCUCAUUUCUGCACUCUCUCACAAAACCUUAGGGUUUCUGAUCUCCUCCUCCUCCUUCGACGCCGACGAUGGGCGAAGCAUCCCUCAUUCUCCGCCCUCCCUGGCUGCUCUUGCCCGCCUGCUCCGGCCGGGGCGCCGCCGCCACCGCCGCACUCCGCUUCCCCGGCGGCUCGAAGCCGCUUGGGAGGAUCCAGCUCAAGAGGGAGCACCGCAGUGGCACCGGGAGGCUCGCGGGGAGCCCGCCGUCCAGGCCGCUCGUCGUGUGGUGCGAGGCUUCCGGUGGACGGGUGAUUGCCCCUGAUUCCUUUCCUUGGGAUUUUUUUUAGCACUCCACGUGCUUGCUCGUCUGUUCGUUCGUUGCUCUGUUUUGGGGAUUUGGUUAUGCUUGUUUGGGGUGAUGCGAUGAGGUCGCGGAUCUGGCGGCAAAGCUUGCGGCUCGUCGGAUCUAGUGGCAGAGCUCAGGUUCCCGAUCCAGGCGAGCUCGAGCUCUAUCGCUAGAUCCGGCGAGCUCGGGUGAGAUCGGCCGAGCCUCGAGCUCGCCGGAUCUGGCCACCGAGUCUUGGUUGGCCGCUGGGUAGCCGACCAUUGUCAAGCAGGAAGGAGGUGGCGGCGGCGGAAGGAGGAGGAAGAAGGAGGAGGAAGGAGGAAGGAAAAGAAAAAUAAAUAAUAAAUAAUAAAAAUUUCGAUUUUUAAAAAUAUAAAUAAUUAAAAAAUCAUUUUAAAAAAUAUAAAUAAUUAAAAAAUCAUUUUAAAAAAUAUAAAUAAUUAAAAAAUCAUUUUAAAAAAUAUAAAUAAAAUUCAAUUUUUGAUAAGUUUUCCCAAACAAUUAAAUGAGCUAACGAACGGUGGAAAAUAUUUUCCACUCAAAUUUUAGAUUUUGGCCGAAUACAAGAAAAUAGAGUCAUUUUCCAGGAAAAUGAGUCAUUUUCCAGGAAAAUGACUUCCAGAAAAAUGUUUUCCAGAAACAUGAUAUUUUCCGCGAAACGAACGGAUCCUAUCUUUUCUCAAAUUAGGAAAAGAAAGUGGUCCGCAAUUUAUGCUACUUUAAACAAUCCACGAAAAUUCUUACAUGAAAAUAGAAUACGUGGUAAAUUGAAUCUGAGUCGGUGAACAUGAUGGGAUCGAAUUCAUUUUAUUCGUACAUGUAUUAGCGGUCCUUUUUCAUACCUAAAAAUCAGAAUUGGCCGUACGUGUCCAGACCCGACUGUAUAGUGAUACUUUGUAUCAGGCUGCAAUCGUGUAGAUGGAUUAAAAAGAAGCUGGCCGCCAAAGCUGGUGUCGCUUCACUACAUGCUUCAAACGAAAGCGGCGGAAAAGUGACAAGCUCUAAUUAAGCAAAACCCAAAAGAAGCUAUUAUUCACCUUUAAUCUUUUAUAGAGUAGUGGCGAAUGUAAACAAAAGUGUAGUUCCAGUACUUGCAUUAAGUGAGGAAAAAAGUACAAAAAAAGUUUUAAAUGUGUUGCAUUAUUAUAAAUUCAGUUUUAAAUAUUUUAAUUGAUCCAAUUUAAUUUUAAAUAUUUUCGCAUUAGUACCAACUCAAUCCAUCGGCCAAUUUAGGCUGAAAAUCACUAAUGUGAAAAUGUUGUUUUACAUGGCACAAAGUGUUGACAUGGACAUUUUUAAAUAAUUUUUAAUUUUUUUUUUCUUUCUCUUCUCUAUCUACCAGUGGUCGGAGAGAGCUAUUGCCUCACCUAGCUAAGGGUCGACCUCACUUGCCACAAGCCAAAGUCGGCCUUGCUAGGCUGCACCAAGGCGAGGGCGAGCGCCUAGCGCCAAGGAGACCCCCUCACUAGAUAUGGCGAGGCCUCACCUAGUUUCGUGAUGGGAGGAUGCACUGUUGAAGUAGAAGUACGUGCUCUCUUCAAUGUUCUCACUCUCGUCGUCCAUGAGCUCGACUUUCACAAAAAUCAAACCUCGAUCAGUCAUUUUAUCUUCUCUUACAACACAGCUCCCAUAAUCGAAAUCUGUGUCGAUCUCUAAUUUGUAUCGCUUUAAUGAUGAACUCCUUCCGACAUCUUUCCAAUUCACGGAGCUUUGAUCUCGCGGAUUGGAGCUCGAUUUUGUGUGGAACUAAAGAGAUGUCUAAUGAGCCUAAUAACAUCCCAACACCUCCCACUUUGACCCUUGCUCAAGCAACGGUCAUCCUUGCCAAAAUCUAGCGAAAGGGCCUUGUGUUGUCGGCCAUCAACAAAAAGAGAGGGAAAGAAAAAGGAGAAAAAGAAAGGGAAUUGAAAAAAAUAUUUUAAAAAAGAAGAAGAGAGAAAUGAUUGUGUAACGAUGUUUAAUAUAUUGUAAGAAUAACAGUCAAUUAUGGAUCACAAAAAAUCAAAUAAAAAAUAAUUAUUAAUUGUUGUAGGACUCACUUUUUCAAGAAUUCGUGGCUCACAAUAAAUUAUUAUUCUCGCAGUACUCCAAGGAUUGUUAUGCUAGCAAAGCCCAUAAAAAAAUGUCCAUAUUAACAUCAGCAAUGCCACAUAGAAUUACUAGCAUCUAAAGUAAUUUCUGGCCUAAAUUGGCCGACAGACUGAAUUGGUAUUAAUGUAAAAAGGUUUUUGAGCUAAUUAAAAAGUUUAGAACUAAAUUGAUAUUAAUGCAAUAUAUUUAAGAGUUUUUAUGGUACUUUUUCGUGACAACAGUGUCCCCAGAAUGCUCCUCCUUUUGGGUCUUCUCACUCCAGUACUGCGCACAAUUGGAGACGGGUUCAUCAGGAGUUAUCCAUGACAGAAUCACUGCCUUGCCGACACGAUCUCCUUGCGUUAUGUGAACCUGAAACACAUUGCUCGAGGCGAGGUUUAAUAACCGAUCCUGCAGAACGCGAACCAAUUUUAUUUUGUAAAGAGGAAAAGCAGAAAAUUGAAACCACCUGUUGCGGCGCAAUAUAUCCGGGAGGUGCAGCAAAGACAUCACUGUCGAAAGGCAUAUCUAGAGAUGGCCAAUCUUUCCUAACAAAAGGACUCGCGGUUCCUCCAUCGCAGAACACAGCCAGGACAUAUUCAAGAACAAGCACGAACGAGUGCGGACCCAUCACUUCUCAGCCUGUGAUUUUUAAUUAGCUCUUGGUCAAGACUCAAGUGCUCUCAUUUAUGUGGUAGGUUCACCUCGAUUUUGGGGGAAUAUUCUGACCUUCCCAGGAAUUUCAGGGAUUAUUUAGCUCACCUGAAUUUGAUCGCUCAGAAUCCGGAUCGCAUGCAAGCAGUGAACUUAACAGGAAAGAAUUUUUUUUUUUUAUUGGAUCAAUCCAAAUUUUUCACGUCUUCAAUUUGAUCUGAAAUUACAGGCUCCUGCUCAAAUUACCUCACUUGUUUUUGGUUCAAUGAAUCAUCAGAUAUCUGUUUUUACUGUCUAGGAAAGCAUGUCUUUGUCCAUUAGAAGGACUUUACUCUAAGAAUUAUUACAUGUUAAUCCAGAAAAUUGCAUUAUGAUUAUGUCCAGAAAAGUAUGUCAUUCGCGUGUAUCCUUUUAGAUAUGACAGCACUCAUCACCGCAACAUAGGAAUUGUGUAGAGAAAUCAAAAUUUUUAUCUAUCGUGGCAAGUCUUAUAGACAUGUUUAUUAGGAAUUUCAGCAAUCAAAAUAUGUAUAUAUCGAAAUUCCAAUAUGAAUAUUUCGUUCAAAAGAAAAGAAAGCAACUCUAAUACUAAAACAUAGUACAAUAAACUCAAACAAGCCCAAUUGCCGAACUUUUAUUUGCUUGCGAAUGUAUUAAGGAAAUUCAAAGAGAACUUUUCCUGUCCUAUGACAAUCGUUAAAUGCUUGUCGAAUCGUCAACUGGAUGCCAGAAUCUAUUAAAGAACCAUAGAGAAUCAGCUUCCACUGCAUAUCCAUCCUCAUUUCUGUGCCAACUAUAAUAUGCAUGCAUUCGGUUCUUAAUAUCGAAUAUCGCAUGGCCAAAGCUGGCUUCGCGGUAGGCUGAGUAUUUUGGUUGGGGCUCUGUCAUUCUGCGUAUGAAAUCAGAUAUUUUCACGAUCCAAUGGCAAACCAGAAGAGUCAUAAAUAAGUUAGGCAGUGUUUUGUGAGGUAGAUCAUCUUACUCGGUGGUCAAACCUUCAAGAUUGCCUCCAUCGCCAAUCGUUAUGUACACUGGAGCUGAUUGAUCAUGAACAGGGACACACAAGCCGUUCACAAUGUUGUAUGCAAUGUUGGAUACACGUUCCUGUGACACUCAUCAAUCAGCCAGUGAGUUCUUAUAUUCAAAUUAGACAGACAAAUAAACAGAUUUAUGGUUUCCUACUCAUCCUCGCAACACCUCGUACAUGGAAAAAAUAAAUUGUGUAUAUCGAUUUCCUUGGACCAAAAACGCUAUUGCUGUCGACAUGCUAAUUUCCAUCUCUUCGGAGAACACUGAAAUUGAUAAUUUGAUUGGACCAACUCAUCAGACUUGGCCUUAUGCUAAUUUCCCGGAAAACAUCGCUGUCUAGAGGCAUGUCCACAGUUUUCUCCACCUUACGGACGAAAGUGCUGGUCUUCCCUCCAUUGCACAAAUCAGCCCUAUUCAAAACCAGAACAAGAACAAGAGCAGCCCCAACGACAGCAACUGAAUGACAAGAAGAAGAAGAUCCCAGAACAGCCAUCUUGGUAAAUGCGAUACCGAGGAAUACGCCCCUUCAAGAUAGAAAGGAGGGAUUUGCAUAAAACUAGGGAAAUAUCCACGGGACCAUACACGCAUGAACAGGGUAAAUGUUAAACUCUUUUGAACGCUAAAAAAUAAGAAUUUCGCAGCUCCUCACAUAUGAAAGGAGGCUUAGCUUUCUUUGAGGGAACACGCAAAUAUCUCUGUCUAUUUCUUUCCGUACGCAGUUGACGUUGAAAUCGUGGGAGGUUUCGUAAUAGUACCGAGUGACUCUUCUUCUGAUAAGGACAGGUAGGCAAUAAUGUUUUGGGCAGCAAUUGGGUGUCGCCACUACGGGUGCAACUGGUUUGGACCAUCGAUAGAUGAGGCGAAGAAUCGGCCACUGCCAAGAGUGGCGAUGUGAUUUGGUGGCGGUGACGUUAUGGAAUCUGGUAUUAGGACUUCGUCUGAAGAAGAAAGAGCUGGGUCUGUGGUCUUAGCUUUGAAAGCAUGUAUCCUUCCAUCACGAGGAUCUUACAACCUGUUUCUUGAUCAGAUAGAACUUUCUUAUUACGCGAAAGGGCAAAGUGUUCGUUUUACAUGCAUUCAUUGCAUGAUAUCAGCUUAGACAAGAGGCCUACAUGACACUUUCAAUAAAACUUCGGGCAAAAUUUGGCAAAAAAGUUCGAUUAAUUCCAAUGUUUAUUGUUUUUCUUUUUUCUUUUUAUAUAUUAUUAUCAUUCUUUGUGAAAAUUUAUCCUCGUGGAUUUUGGCCAAACAAGUCGAGAAGAGAUUUCCAAUUCCUCCUUUGAUUACACUUGAGCCCAUCCUCACUCCUAAACAGACACCCUAAAUGAUCAUAUAGAUUCAAGAUGGACGUACAAGUCAUAAGCCAAUAACAAGCUAAGAAUCGGGUUUCAUACGCAAUAUUGUCGCGAUCACUAUUCUUUCUGCAUGGUUAGAAAAGAUAAUAAUCCAAUAUAUUGUAUGCACGCAAAAACACUCAACGUGCCUACUCUGUUUUAUUUCAUAAAUUAUGUUACCUAGUGAUAAAAAUUCAUGUGAUAUGAAUAGUCAGUCAAAUCUUUAUGCGCACCGACUAAAAUCGUCACAAGACAACAAAGUAAAGACCGGGAACUCGCUGGUAGACUGUGGACGAGGACUUAUGAUCAUCCAUGGUGUGAAUGCCUUGAGAGUUGACUGACCGAAAACUCUCCAAGUCAUCAUCAGUGCUCGUAGGAGUCCCCAACUUUCCACUCGUGUCCGCCGUUCAUUGGUUAACUGACUAAAUUUCUGCAGCGGUAUUUAGUACAUUGGUAGGUUCGUGCAAUGCUCGGUCAACUGACUGUUCAGAAGGCAAAUUCAAACGUUGAUUAAAGCAUGGACCCGACCGCGUUCCUUGACUUUUCUCGAACGAGGAGAAGAAGGUGGUCCACAAUUUACGACUACUUUAAACAAUCAACGUCGUCCGGAAAAUUCUUACAUGAAACUAAUAUACGAGGUAAAUUGAAUCGGGCCGGUGAAAACGAUUUUCUAAAAAUGAUGAGUUGUGUAGUUUACAAAAAUGAAUUAACGAAAAACAUCUUUACAUUUCACGAAAAUGUUUGAACAUAAUUUAUUCUCAAUAAUGAAAAUAUUUUUUACUGACUAAUUAUUUCAAGAGGUACAAAUUAUCAUUUUCAAGAAAAAAAUUUCCAGACCAUUCAUUUUUCCAUGAAAUAAACAAAGUAGAAACCAUAUUGUAUUCAAAGAGUGGUGCAUUUGUUUUGUGGAAAAUAAACAAAAUACUCUUAUCCUUAUCCUAGAGCUUGCCCUGAUUUUGUCUUCAAUUUAGUUUUUUUAAACCAAGAUUCUCGAUUUGAUCCGAAACUACAUGCUGCUGCUUGGGACUACCUAACAUGUUUUUCGUUCAGUCAAUCAUCGGAUAUUAGAUUACAUGGUCUAGUAAAGCAUAUCUCUACCUAUUCGAAGGAAUUACUCUUAAGAAUUAUCGCAUGUUAAUUUAAAGAACUGUAUUUUGAUUAUGACCUGAAAAGUAUGUCAUUCACACGUAUCUUUUUAGAUGUGACAAACGCUCAUACUCGCAACAAAGUAAUUGUAUUGAGAAAUCAAAAUUAUUAUUUAUCAGCAAAAGUUUUACAGACAUAUUUUUUAGGAACUUCAGCAAUCAAAAAUAUGCAGUCUACUAAAAUUCCAGUAUGGAUCUUUCAUUUAAAAAAAAAAAAAAUCUCUGUUACAAAAACAUAGUACAAUAAACUUUAGCAACCCUAAUUGAUAAACUUUUAUUUGCUUGGAAAUGCAUUGAGGAAAUCCAAAGGGAAAACUUGUCCAGUUCUGUGAUAACUACUAAAUGCUUGUGGAAUCGUCAACCGGAUGCCAGAAUCUAUUGAAGAACCACAUAGAGUCGGCUUCCACUGCAUAUCCAUCCUGAUUUCUGUGCCAAUUAUAGUAUGCAUGCGUUCGGUUUUUAAUGUCGAACAUUGCAUGGCCAAAGCUGGCUUCGCGGUAGGCAGAGUAUUUUGGCUGGGGUUCUGUCAUGCUGCAUAUAAAAUCAGAUAUUUAGAUGAUCCAAUGGCAACACAAAAUAGUCAUGAAUAAGUUAGGCAGUGUUUUCUGAGGUAAUUCAUCUUACUUGGUGGCCAAACCUUCAAGAUUGCCUCCAUCACCAAUCGUUAUGUACACUGGAGCUGAUUGAUCAUGAACAGGGAUGCACAAGCCGUUCACAAUGUUGUAUGCGAUGUUGGAUACACGUUCCUGUGAUACUCAUCAAUUAGCCAGCAAGUUCUUACAUUCAAACUAGACAAACAAAUAAACGGAUUUCUAAUUUCCCGCUCAUCCUCACAACACUUCGUACAUGUAAAAAUUGACAGUUUGAUUGGACUAACUCAUCAGAGUUGGCUUCAUGCAUCUUUCUAGGGAAAGCCUAUAGUUGAAAUAAAGCUGAUAAACUAGAUGAUGAGGAAAAGGAAAUAUUUCGACUUACAGAUCGUUCAUAUGCAUGGACAUGACCUGCAAACACCACAUCUACUUUGUAUUUCACAAACCACGGCUCGAACAUCACUCUCAUGGUUUCUCCUUCCAUGUAGUGAUAGUUGUAGCUAUUGUACCAGGGAGAAUGCAUCAUAACAAUCAGCCAUGGUGUCUCGGUCCUGUCAACUUUUUUUAGCUCUUCUUCAAGCCAUUUGUACUGGGGAGUAUAUUUACCUUAGGAGCGAACAGAGGUAAAAGGAAUUAAGCAAAAGUGAGCUACGACAUUCAAUAGGAAUUGGCAUUCAGAGAGACGUCUCUAUUGUACAUCUUGAUAUAACCGUACAUGUUAUAAUGACAUCGAAUCAAAACCAUUUUAGCGCCUAACAAACUUUCAUUUCCAUUACUGGAUGUUUUGAGUUAAACGAUGAAUAUUUGCUCCCAACGUCUAUCUGCAGUCUAUUAAAUUAAUAAAAAUCUUGAAAAAAUGGAUCUGCUGUCAUCCACAGAUGUGAAAGUAAAGUUUCAUAUUGACUCUCCACCUAAUUUCGACCUUGCAGAUAAAUGAACAUUAUUAUUAUAUCCCAAAAUUAUCUCAUAAACAUGGGAGGUGCCGUAGAGUAGCAUCUUAUUCUCAUCUAUGUUGGCAGCAUAGUCACGGAUGUAGG